CGAAUUGAUAUGAGGAGUCAAAGAAUUCUAAAACUGGCCUGAAAAACUGAAACAAACUGUGUUUGCAAACUUCGGAUGGUAAAAAGACCUAUUUAGAAGCCGAUUUUGAGGUGCCAAAUAUUGAACAAGCUUCUGCAACUAUUUAGGUGCGGCUCGUCGCUAGCUUUCAUUUGAGUAUUUGUGGAUCCAAAACGGACUUCGUAUGAGGAAUUUAUGCCUGUUUUACUGAACAGUGCACAUAACAGAUUCCAAUCCGAAUUCAACUACGAGAUUGAGUCUAGAUAGAUCCGAAUUUUCUUUUUUUUUCUUUUUUUCUCACACUUUUUUAUUUCUCUUUUUUUUGUCUAACUUUUUUAUUUCUUUCCUUUUUUUCUCUCUUUCUUUUUCUCCUUCUUUCCAAGACAAACUAGAUAAGAUGCAGAUUGGAUCAGGCGAAGAUGUGAAUGACCUCAACUAUGAUUAUGACAAUGAACGAUGGGUAGCACAUGGUGGAAAUUGAUGGAUGGGAUGGUGGACAGCGGAAGGGAUAACGAUGCAGCGGCGGUGUGACUAAUGUGAACAGAACUCGAAACUCUAAACGAACUAACACUAAGACCAGCAGCUCGACACGAUGAUGCAAUCGAUAAUUCAACUAUGCAUGCAAUGAAAAGAAAAUUGUAAAGGCUCAGACUGGCUUGGACAAAGGAUGAAUAGAUCUAACUUUUUUAUGGAUUUUUCUUGGACAAUAGGAAAGCAAAUAAAUCUAAUCUAGGGAAAACUUGAAAUUCUCACCGAGCAACCUGAAAACUGAUACCACUUGAUAGAGGCGGGGUGUCCCGAUCUUUCGAUGAGAUGCUAAGUAUUGAUUUGGUGGAGACGACUUUGAUGAUCCGACUACAAACGUGCAUGACGUUGCGCCUUAGCAAUCGCUAAACCAACCCCGAGAGGUUAUUAAACACGCCGGAGCACAAUCAACCUGACCACGAAGGUUUAUUCCUGCAAGCAAUCGAAGAACAAGCAAGAAUAUGAUAAAGCAAUUUGAAUAUUGCGAAUAUGGAUGAAGUAUUGAUAAUGGUGGGGAUCCGUAAGUGGUAUUGGUCUGGUCGUUGGACACAAACAAAGUACAUGAAGUUGCAUUGGCUAACUUUUAACUAAACAAAUCCCUAGGAAAAAGCUACUAGAUGGAUCUACUUAUAGGAGCAAGGGGUGGCGGCCAAGGAGGUGGGAGGACGUCCCAAGGCAGCCUAAAACCAACCCUAGGUCGUACAAGGCUCAUGGGCCCAAGUGAAGGUGAUGCAACACCUUUGGACUUGUUGUUUGACUUGGAUUCUGCUGCAGUGUCUGAUUGUUUCAUUGAUAUCUCAAUGCUCCGGGCGAAUUUGAAGGUGAAUCUAAUUGGGCUGGAAAGAGCACGAAAUCUACUUUCCAACAAAAAAUGAAUCACCCAAUUCAGAGUCCGUAUGAAAAAGUUAUUGACGUUUUGAGUCAGGUAUGUCUGUGCAGUCCGAAUCUGAAUCCAGAACGUGGGAGACUUGGACUCUAUCUUCUCUUGGCCCAAAAGUGAUGUGAGGGGACUUUUUGAAUAGAACCUAAAUUUAUCCUUUUCCCUUUUCUUCAUAUGCGGAUUGUACAAAUGUCCCAUACACCUCCAAUUAGACAAAACACAAAAGUGUGUGAAGUAUCUUUGUUCUGGAUAAUAUAAAUAGAUCAUUGAAUAGUUUGCAUUAGAAAUCACCUGACAAAUAUGCAUGUAUGCAAUAUUUUUGGUCGUAUACAAGGUAGUCAUGUCGUCAUCAUGCAGACAUGUUAUUCCCUGAAAAAUCAAAUCGUGAUCAAUAUAUUAUUCACCCAGACAAGCAACAAGAAAGCUUAUAAAGUUAUACUAAGCAGGUUCUUUUCAAUUAUUACUUUACAUUCAGUACACCCUACAACUAAUUUCUUCUCAUAACCACACAAGUCGGUGAGCCUCUUGGCCAGGUGAUCGUCAAUAGCAUUAUUAGCUAUGUCAACUAGGGAGGCCACCGUCUCAUUUCGUACGAAUUCCUUCAGAAACUAAGAAAUAAACACAGAAGAUAAUUAAGAAGCUUGUCAAAUACAAUAUAACGCAAGUGUAUAAAUCAUGAAAGGAGGCAGGAUCAUUGAUUAAAAAAUGGGAGCCUUACUAACAAGCACGGGCAAGCAUUACCAAAAGUCCUGUAGAAAAAGCAGAGUAAUCGAUUAGAUGAUCUUGAGUUUUUCAUUGAUGACAGCCAAAUCCUAAGGAGCAUCAGCAAGGAAAAAAUAAGAACCUUUGCUAGAUCAUUGAGGUAGUCCCCAUCAAAAGAGAAAAUUGCAAUGCCAACAGGUGCUUCAUAUAGCAGCACAAUAGUCAUGUCUCCUGUAAGGAAACCAAGUAAAGUACGCACGGGAUUCAUCUGACUCCAAAUUAUGACCUAACAAUCCGGAACAUCAACAUAAAGACAGGUUAUUCCCUGAAAAAGCAGGUGGUGGUCAGUACUGUUCACCCAGACAAAAGCAACAAGAAAGGUUACAAAGUAUACUAACCAGGUUCAUUUCAAUUAUUCUUUUAUAUUCAGCACUUCCCACAACUAAUUUGUUCACAGAACCACACAGUUUGGUGAGCCUCUUGGCUAGGUGAUCGUCGAUAGCAUUAUUAACUAUGUCAAUGGGGCAGGGCACCAUCUCAUUUUGUAUGAGUUCUUCCAGACUCUGGGAAAUAAACAUAGAAGGGAUUUAAAAAUCUUGUCAGAUACAAUACAAGUGUCCAAACCAUGAAAGGAAGCAGGGUAUUUGACAAAGGAGUGCGUCAAUCAUAAAGUAUAGUGUUGCUUAAGCCUUUGUAUGUAUGUUUCUCUCGGGAAUGCUCUCGAAUGUUCAUGCAUAGAGCUAGAUGUCUGCAUUCUUCCAUUCUUGGUAGGAGUACCAUGUCAGAGCUCAUUCAUCCCUAGCUAGGAAGAUCUAACCACUCAGUAGAAAAUCUGGAUUUUGGGUCGGCCCUAGCUAAGCUGCUGCAAGCAAUUUUGGGUUGGCCCUAAGUAACUGAACGAUUACAAAAAAUCUAAAUUCGACAUGAGCUCCACACAACCAAGUAGUGCUUAUUAUCUGUUCUAUGUCGCUGGUAGGUAUCCACGCUAGAUAUAGCCGAGUCAACUCCACUUUUCUGAAAACUGCUACACGCGCAAGACAAAAAGGAAAUCCACAGAUUUCCCAACCACAACAAGGAACAAAACAUCUUCUCCUCGAGAGGAAAAGGCGGGGGCAAAGGUAGGCAGAGCAUCGAGACGAAUCAAUUCGUCCAGCCAACGAGCUAGCGAGCCAACCAGUCCAUUCGGAACAAAGCCCGCACGCACCCGCAGAGGAAGCGCAGAGUGAGUGAGGGGGGAGGAAGGAAGGGAGGUGGUAGCAGGAAGGGGGAGGCGUACCCGCACUUGUCGCAGAGCACGACGAAGCCACCAGAUCGCAAUGGCUAGUCCUUCCUCCACUGGCCCACCCCCACCACCGUCGGGGCGGGGGCGCCGCACGCCACGUUCAUGCACCUCAUCGCCGCCGCCGUGGGAGACGAGAGAGCCGGUUGUGUGCGCACCUGAUCGACAUCAGAUGAGUGGAGGGGAAGGGAUGAGAGGGGGCGGCGGUGGGAGAUGAAGUCGCCGACUGUGGGGGAGAGCGGAGGGAGUGGAGUGGGUGAGAUCUAAGGACUGUGCGGGAAUGGAGAGAGUGAGGGAGACUGGUGCUAUUUUUUUUUGAGUAAUACUGCCUUUUCUUUAUAACUUGGAGUAAUACUGCUAGGUUGGGUGCUGGUUGGCUGUGCUGGUUAGUCGAUUUGGGCCUUUGACGUUUGCUCUUCGAAGGAAAAAUACACUAAAGUAUAUACAUUGGAUCAUAUGGAUAAAUGUUUUUUUAUACUUAUUACAUAUAUUUAGAGUGUCACAAAAAAAUCAAAAUUUUGAGAAAAGAAACCGAAUAUAUUUGGUUUAUGUUGGAUUGCUUGCAUGCUUUUAAGUUUUGUCGGACAAUUUUCCUUAGCCUAUAUAAAAGAAUUAAAAAUUCUCAAAAAAUAUAAAUAUAUUAAAAUGAUUUAAGAAAUUUCAGAUGAUACAUUAUUUAUAUAUGAACAUUAUAGUUGGUUGUUUGCUCCGAAAGAAAUGCAACAUCUUUUUUGUAAUAAUAUGAAAAAUGAUUUUUCUUUUUUACAAAAUAAAACAUCUGUGUUUGUUUCACUCUUAAUUUUAUUAUAUAUUAUAUAUGUUUAUAUGAUGCAAUAGCAAAUAUCAUUUAUAUUCCAUCACAGAUAAAAAGUGAUGGGUUCCGAUACAUAUUGAUGUAAUGAUGACAGACCGGACUGAAACACGACGAGAAGAGGUAUAUAGCUAAUCAUUCUGUGUCUGUGUCUGAGUUGGUAGCAUUGCGUCCACGUGUUAUUUUCCUUAACCUAUAUAAAAGAAUUAAAAAUUCUCAAAAAAUAUAAAUAGAUUAAAAUGAUUUAAGAAAUUUCAGAUGACAUAUUAUUUAUAUAUGAACACUAUAGUUGGUUGUUUGCUCCGAAAGAAAUGCAACAUCUUUUUUGUAAUAAUAUGAAAAACGGUUUUUCCUUUUUUACAAAAUAAAACAGUUGUGUUUGUUUCACUCUUAAUUUUAUUAUAUAUAUUAUAUAUGUUUAUAUGAUGCAGUAGCAAAUAUCAUUUAUAUUCCAUCAUAGAUAAAAAGUGAUGGGUUCCGACAUACACAUUGAUGUAACGAUGACACACCGGACUGAAACACGACAAGAAGAGGUAUAUAGCUAAUCAUUGUAUGUCUGUGUCUUAUACAUGAUAAUACAAAAUGUUUAUUUUUUAUAUAUUAUUAUUUUUCAGAAUAUAUGAGACACAGAUAUGGAUUUUGGAGAUGCACAAAAAGAAUGCAUCGAUAAGGGUUCCGAAGCGGCGACGCUGAAAGGGGCCGAAAAUUCACCGUUUUUUUCACAACAAAAUCAUGUGGAGGCAGUGAUAUAUCAUAAAAAACCAAAAAAGGAUGCCAAUUUAAAUGUUAUCACACAAUGUAUUCUUUUGAAUGUUAUUAUCGAUCUUUCCUUCGUCAUAUUGCUUUUUGUAUUCAACCAAUUUGUCUCAUUUUUAUAGUAAUUUGGCUCGUUUUUAUAUCAUGCCGACAGACUAUAUUUGUACCCCUAGAGAUAUUACAAUCAUGUCUACCCCAGAAAACCAUGUUUGUGGACAUUGAAGAUGCUGUAUUAUCAAACGACGAUUUGGAAUGACUUAUGAAGGUGAUAUAUCCUUACACGAUGGUGUAGGACCAAUUGCAUAAACUUUGUAAUUAAUAAUAUAAACAAUACUUCCUCCGUUUCAAAAUAUAGUGCGUCCUCGGUUCCCGCGCUUCAACCUUGACCAUAAAAUUAACCAACGAGAUCGAUUGUGGCGGGAGCAAAAGUUAUACCAGUGAAUUCGUAUUCAGAAGAAGUUUUCAAUUAUAUAUUUUUUUUCUCCCGCUGUAGUCGGUCUCGUUGGUUAAAUUUAUGGUCAAAGUUGAACCGCGGAAUACGCGGGUGCACUAUAUUUUGGAACGGAGGGAGUAUAUAAUAUCGUAAAACAUAGAUAUAAUCUAAAUGUGGAAUUACAGGUGAUAAAUGCUUACAUAUAUUGCAUGCUGACUCACAGCUAUCUAUGAGACAGGGCACGUUCGUUUCUAGCCAGAUGAAAGAAGACGGGGGAAAAUAUAUAGACCCAUCAAAAUAUCGUCACUUCUUACAGCAUGUUAAUACUUAUCUACAACAAGAUAUGGUUAGUAUCGCCUCAUUAUCCAUGCAUAUCAUGAUGUAUUUUUUAAAAUUAAUUCAUGUGUAUAAUAAUUUAUUAUUAUUUACUUAUAUGAUAUUUACAUCAGUUGUUCAUUCCAAUUAACACGCCCCAGACUCAUUGGUAUCUAACAGUCGUCAAUGCCAAAAAAACGUGAGAUUCAAGUAUUGGACUCACUUGGUUCUCAGAUCGAACGGAGUGACCUUACUACUACGGUACUUCCUCCGUCCGGGUUUAUUAGGCCCCUCGACCAAAACGUAGGUACCAAGGCUCUACAAUUAAUUUCUCAAAAUAAAUAGUGCUCCUUCGGUUUCUGCGCGUGAUUAACUGCAAAAGCAAUGCUGCUUCACACAGAUUCCUGCAUGCAAGCCCAUGCUCGAUUAAUCUAGCCAUUCCGUGAUGCUUGGGAACCCUUUUUGCGGCCCCACAUUCAAUUAAUCGGCAUGCAGCCCCGAUAGACAGAGAAAGAAAUGAAGCGCCGGCAGCACAAAUCGAUGCAGGGUCCUUUUAAAAGCGGACACGCUCCCUCCGCCCAGGGGCCUAAUAAAUCCGGACGAAGGGAGUAACUACUAUUGUAUUUUGGUCCUCUUAACAUAUAUUUUGUUUGCCUUAACUCCUACUAUUAUAAAAUAGUUAUGAGGACUUGAAAAGCGUCUGAAACUUGGAGAACAGAGUCCGAAGUUUAACAAAGAUCAUAAUUAAGUGGCUCGGUCUUAAUGUUACAAAAUGGAAUGUCGUAGAAUAGUUUCAUGAGGCAAUACAUACGGAUCGGUAAGCACUUGUCACAAAUUGAAAAAUAUUGUGUUUGAUACUCAUGAACACAAAAAAUAUCAUAUAAUAGAAAAUAUUGAUAGUAAAAUGUCGUAGUGUAUCUAUUAGUUGAUGAAACAGUUUUUAUUAUACUUGCUCAAACAUUGUGCAAAUGAAGAUAAAGACAACUUGCCUGAUAUUGUGAGACAAUUUCUUAAGUGCAUCACGUGUAGAUCUCAAUACUUUGUAAUAGAUUUUUAGUUGGAUCAUCACUUUAUAUGUAUACAUUGUUAAUGUGCUAUUUUGUAACACUUUACAUUACAAGUUAAGUGGACUUUAAUUAUUAUGCAAUUGUGACCGUGAUACAUUGUCUCUAUCUGUGACUAUUUCAGAAGCACGGGCAUUCUACUAGUACAUAUGUAUCUCUAUUUUUCACUUCAACUUUUUUAGCUCUUUAUACCGGACCAUAUUUUUUCUUCCUAAGCACCCGCCUCCUGCACAGGAUCUCGCUUCCUUAUCCGAAUCUAUUUUUGCUGAUAUCCGAUCCUACAAUGUCAUACGGGGCAUCAUCUUGGGUUAUGCAUUGGCCAUGCCCUGGAUGACCCCACGAGUGAAUCAAGAGAACAAUAUGGGUGGCUCCAGCUUCGGUGUCAAGGGAAAAAUCUGGUAGCUCGGGGAGGGAACGCUCUCAAUGGAUGGUCCAGAUCGCGAGGAGGGAUAAUCUAACGGCGGAAAUCACCAAAGCUCUGAGGUGCGACCUAAUGACUCAUUCCGGUACAGAACCUCCCGCAAAUCACCAGGGGCCGCUCCGUAACCCUCACCCAAUCUCUCAUUCUGGAUCUGACCUCGAGGGCGCGGGGGGCGAUGGAAUCGGCGAACGAUACUCCAGAGCCGGUGGAGAAGGUGGAGACGGUGGCGGGGGAGGGGCAGGGAAGGGCGCGGGGGGAGACGCAGUCGGCGAACUUUACUCCAGCGCCGGCGGAGAAGGUGGAGACGGUGGCGGGGAAGGGGAAGGGGAAGCGGAAGAAGGGGAAGGGGAAGGGGACUAGGGGCGUCUUCUGCGGUCGAGGUGAGAUAAGCUGCCAGCUUUCAUCGUCUUCUUUCUUCAAUCUCACCCAGGCCGGAAGGGAAAUUUGGAGUGCGGAGCAUGUUUCAGACUUCAGAAACUUGAUUGUUUUUAUGAGAAAAAAGAUGUUAUAGCCCGUGUCGCUACCAAACCAAACUGGGUGAUCCGGGGGCUCAAACCCUAGCCCCGCCGCCGGCCUUUCCACCCAGUUUGUCGGUAUCUGGGGCGGCCGCCCUGGAAGCAUCUCGGCCGAGGCUGGCUGAUCGUCGCCGUGGGGAUGGCGCGACGGCUGGAUCUGCUGGCGAGGUGUUCUGCAGUUCGCCUGAGCGUCGGCAGCGGCAGUCUGGGGAUGUCCUCAUACUCCUCGCACGCUCCGUGGUGCUGCGGCCUGGUGUGGUUGCAGCCACCCGCCUCACUGGGAAUGUGGCAGGUGGCGUAGCUGCUUGGCGUUUGCUGUGCAGCUCCUGUUGCUCCUGUAGCUUGAACCUUUUUGGAUGUGCCCUUCCGGCGUGGUGCUACAAUGAGCAAUAUAUUCAGGUGAUGGGUUGUUCCCAAUCCCGUGACUGGCCAAAAACAAUUUUUUUUGGACUGCAGUGACGUUAAGUGGAAAUUCCCUGAACAACCUUGUAGUGGUAGUACAUACAUGCCCAGGAAACUAAUUUGGACUAGUGGAUCUUCUUGAUUAGGAGCAAGUUAGCGGUGGUGUGGGCCGUUAGCCUCGGAUGCAAGACUUGACAACACGCUUAUACACUUCCCGAUUGGUUGAUUGGUCAACUUACCUUUGCCUGAUAUUGCUUGAAUUCUGUUUUUGCAGGUAUCGAGUUGGGCAAUUGUGGACUGAUCUUGGUUCUUUUUGAGACGCAAUCUGGGUUUGCAAUUUUCACUUAUGAUGGUAUGAAUCUCCUCCUAGAUAAUGCAGUUGAGGUACUUGGUUACCACUGGCUUUGUUUUAUUCAUUGUUUGUUCUUGUCGCCUUUGUCAUUGGCCUAAUAAUUUCUGUCAUUUGUGUCGUGCAGAAUAUCUGGGUAGAUUUCAUUGAGGGUUACUUGGCAAAAUCAGUUAGUACCCAUCCCUUUCCCCCUGUUUGAUUCACACCUUUCAGGUUUGCUAGUGUGAUAUAUUCUUUGAAUCGAAUAAAGAAAUAUUCACCCAUUUGGCCAUUGGCUCUGUUUGCCAUUACUAAUUCCACUUACUCGUGGCACAAUUUACCCCAGCGAGCUGUUUGGAAAGCAUGUGUGCUGUUAUUAUACUCAUGCAUAUCCCAAAACUACUUUUCUAAAGGGUGAGCAUGGGUGUCAAGAUAUAUCUAAAGAUCGAUUGACAUGUGCUCACUCACCAUUCCUGGCCUACUACGGAUGAUUGAGUCCUGGCAUGGUGAUGGGUACUACUACCAAGGAACAGCAAUACUGUCUUUUUUUUUAGAAUGCAUUGUGUUAGCUUAGUACAUUAACUUAUGCUGAGUUACACAGUAAUAACUGAGGAACUUGUUUACCACUGCCUUUAUUUCACUAGCUGUCUCAUCUCCCCUCGACAUGCUUUUCCAUUUUUUUUCGAGGGUCAACAUGCUAUUCCUUGUUUGUGUAUCAGAUGGUUUGGCUGAAAGAAUUUAAACGUCUUGAGAACGUGAGCAGCGCGAUCGACCCUGUUACCGGUGUUGACGAAGAUCUUGCUAUGACGAUCCGGAAAUACAUCGUUCCUGGGCAGCAACUAGCUGUUGGAAAGCCUGAAUAUAAAACCAUCAUUGAAGACAAGUUGGUAAGUGUUUACUCGCUAAUGCUUAUAUUCUCAACUAUUCGAGUACCAAUUUUACCAUGGCUUUAUUUAGGAAAUAUCCUGCCUGCAUGAUGAUGCGGUCAUGGAAUUGAUGUGGGGCCUUGGGAACUGCGUAGAGUAUCUAGUGCCUUCAGAAAAGUUGGAGCUGACUAUGGAGGGUCGCCUCCGUAUGAGUAAAGGAUUGAAAACUGUCCUGGAAAGUUAUGACUUACAAGUUGAACCAGAGAUGGUUAGUUCAUUGUUUCCUUCCUGGCAUGCCCAUUGCCUUCCGCUUUGUAACUCCCUGUCACGUAUUGUUACACUUAGGGCCCUCAAUUUUCAGCGACCAAAGCGAUGCAUUAUUUUCCCAAUAUUUUUGUCUUUCAAGGCAUUCUCCUUGAUAUAGAAAUGCUCCUUAUUUUCAGGUUAAUAAGCAUAUUAUUGAGACAGCAGGUGUUGUGUAUAGUUGUGACCAUUCUGUCAACAAACAUGGUAAGUCCUUGCGGGCUGCUGGUGAGCACCUUAAGAAGAUUUCAGACAUUGACUCGCAGGAUUGGUGUUUAAUUAAACUAGUGACUGCUCUCAAGUUAUUAUGUUACCCUACAGAGGAACUUCCUGGAAUUCCUCUUGAGGUAAAUUAGUAAUAUUUUGCAAAAAUUUUCUUGGCUUGUUGCUGUGCAUUUUUUAAGAAAUGUGCUAUUAUCUUGCAGGUUUUCUCAGCAGAGGAGUAUUCCAAGUUGGUGAAUGAUGGACCUAAAUACGAAGGUAAACUAUUGAAGGUGUCUUGCAAGACUGUCUUCAAAGAAAUGGUGUGGGCCCGUCGUCUGAGGAAUAGGAUGUUAAGACUCUUGGCCCAUUACGUGAGGGAGGCAAGAAAAGCAUAUGAAGAGGACCAAACUUUGAUGAGCAGCUGUGAGGGAGGCAAGAAAAGCAUAUGAAGAGGACCAAACUUUGAUGAGCAGCUGUGAGGGAGGGAAGAAAAGCAUCUGAUAAAAAGGCAUACUGGCCUACUCCCUCCGUCCGCCAAAGAGUGUGCAUCUGGCUCCAUGAUUUUCCCCAAAAUAAGUGUACGUUUGGCUCCACCGCAGGUAAUUUUGCAUUCACCCCCCUGAUCUACGCCUCGAGGUCACCACAACCAGCGACGACCCAAUCCUCUCGUUCUCCCCCAAAUCGAAGCCAGUCUUCUUCCUCUUCCCCCAACUCUCCCUCCCGAUCCAAUCCCAGAUCGCUGAGAGUCAAUCAUCCAAUCCAAAGCCAUUGCUGGUCAUGCAGAGAUUAAUGGCGGCCGGUCCAUAUAAGCUGCCGGUGUGCAUCGCAAUGGAUCCAUGGAAGGCGGCGGAGGAGCGGUAGGUGGAGGAGCAGAAUCCGGCGAUGUCCAGCCAGGCAAGGCCAUCGCGGCGGCCGGCGGCGUAACACGCGACUGCGGAGGAUCUGGUUCUGGAGGCCCCCACCGUGCUCGGGCAGUCAGGUUCCGACCGCGCUCGCCCUCGUACAUCCUUCGGCGGCGGCGGUAUGGUUGCGGAGCCAAACUCGUCGACUUGGACAAGGAUGUAGCAGCUGAUGGCGAAGCUGGUGUCGGGCAUGCAGGUACUCUUCUCCAUCGGCCUCAUGUUCAUCUUCUACCUCAAGAUACUAUGAUUAUUAGAGACAGUAUGCAGAAGGAUUGAACAAGAAGAAUUGAAUAGAUCAGCGAGUUGUACCUGGAUCCAUGUUUAGAUUGAAGUGACGUGUGGGCUGGAGCUCUUCAUGCACGGCUUCACCCUCUUCAUGUACGGCUUCAUCCUCUUCAUGUACAGCUUGCUCCUGAAAGAGAGCUUCAUCUUCUUCCUGUUAUCCUGUAUGGCUUCCACUCCCUCAUGCACGGCUUCGUCUCCCUCAUCUGGUGGUAGUAUAUUCAAGUCAAUGGCCAUGGAUGGGGUGUGUGUGUGUGUGGUGUAUUCUUUGGUAAAUGUGAGCUGGCUUUGUAGCUGUGUUAGGCGUUUGGAUUCCAAUUUUUGGCGCCUGUAAUCUGGCUUACUAGUAUUGAAACUGGCGGGAACAGUGUACUGGAGUAACUGGCUGAAGCUAAAUUAGCUAGCGGGAGGAGGAAUUGUAUUUUGCUUGUGAUUUAAUGAGACAUGUGUAUUAACUGUGUACAAGAAUCGAAGCACCACCACCGCUGCCAGUUGCUUAAAUGAGGGGAGGGAGNNNNNNNNNNNNNNNNNNNNNNNNNNNNNNNNNNNNNNNNNNNNNNNNNNNNNNNNNNNNNNNNNNNNNNNNNNNNNNNNNNNNNNNNNNNNNNNNNNNNNNNNNNNNNNNNNNNNNNNNNNNNNNNNNNNNNNNNNNNNNNNNNNNNNNNNNNNNNNNNNNNNNNNNNNNNNNNNNNNNNNNNNNNNNNNNNNNNNNNNNNNNNNNNNNNNNNNNNNNNNNNNNNNNNNNNNNNNNNNNNNNNNNNNNNNNNNNNNAUGCUAAUUUGUCUUAGAAUAGCCAAACGCACACUCUUUGGCGGACGGAGGGAGUAUGAAGUUGCCAUCAGGGCAUCUGACGCAGAUGGUUGUUUAACAUAACUUUGGUUUAUUUUGGUUUGUAUGUUGAAUGAGACUUAGCAUUUGCCCGUGCGUAUCAUUAUAUGUGUUAUCUGUGUUGUCGUUCCCUACAGGGAGAACUACUCGUCAUCCUAGCUUGAAUACUAUAUUAGUGUUAGCAAACACUGAUGACCUGUCUGGUUCACCAGUUUUGCACCGUCUCCUGAUUACAUCGCUUCCGAUCCACUUUCCCUUACUCUGCUCGUCCCGACCUUGAGUACUUGUCGUCGCCACGCCUCUCCCUCCUCCGCUGCAAGAUUCAACUUCGGACCUCUCCAAGCUCCGCCCCAAAUAGCUGGUCCCCUUAGAGCAACUCUAGCAGACCUCAAGAUGGGAAUGGGCCGGGUCGACCCGCUGGGUCACUGACCCGGCCCAAAAAUUCAAGGCCAAUGGGCCAAGUGGGUUGGCCUUAAUUGAUAUAUGGGUCAGUGGAGUCGGACCUGUGCGACCCGAUGGGUCAGAUGGGUCGACCCAGUCCCCCGACCAUCUCUGCUGCCGCUGGCCGCCCCCUCGACUCGUCGUGUACUUUCUGAAGAAAUUGAUGAUGUGCUCACGCGCAGAUGGAUUAUUUGACCGGAAGACACGUACUCCUACGUAAGAAGCUGAGCAAACUGGAUCGAUUGUUGGAAACGCCCCUGUACACAAGCAGGCAGGUGCAUUGAUUUUUACGUGAACUAGUACAUGCACGUAGAAACAACCAGCGGCUUGUUCGAACGGCACCUCCGAGCAUCUCUGCUGCCGCCGGCGUUCGUCCCGCUCGUGCCUCUCGUUCGUCGUCUCGGUCGCCGUCGAGCUCGUCAUCCUGGUCGCUUUCCUCUUCCUUUUCAACUUGUCCAGCUCGCCUCCCGAUGGCCUUCCCGGUCUUCAGAUUGUGCUAACUAAAUUCAUCUGCCCACGCCCUUCGCUCCUCCUGCCCACGCCCAACUCCCAUCUAGGGUUUCCUUGCCUCUCGCCGGCGCCGCCGGUCCGCCUUAUCUUCUAUGGUCCUCGGAUCAUGGAGGCACGGUGGAUCCCGGCCCUUGCCGGCGGGAGGGCUCCGUUUUUAGAUGCUUUUCUGAGUUUUGUUAGGGUUUGUGCCAUGCUCAAGAAGAUGAGGUGGUGUCGGCUUCUUGAAGAUGGAAUAAGGUCCUCCCCGCCUAGCCCCCGUCCCGGUGAUGUUUCAAGCAUCGUCGGAAGGCGUGUGGAGGUUUGUCUCCGGCGGAUCUCAUGGGAUCCGGUCGGCGUUUGUCUUCGGUGGAUCCGACUGGAUCUGGUCUUCGCUCGUCUACGUCUGUGUGUCUGCAGGUUGGAUCCUUCCGGUCUAUGCUUCUCUUCAUCGGCGGCGGUUGCUGUUCUGGUGCGCUGGUCUCAUGGGGCCUUAGCACGACGACUUCCCGACUGUCUACUACAACAAUGUUUGCCCGGCUCCGACGAGGGAGGGGCGAUGACGGCGGCGCGCCUUCGGCUCGCUCCAGAGAUUGUAGUCGUCGCUAGGUGGUCUACAGACCUGGAUGUAAUUUUUACUUCUAGUGUUUUUUGUACUACCUUGACAGUUGAUGAAUAGAUCGGAAGUUUUCGCGCAAAAAAAAAACUAAAUUCAUGGAUUUUCUCAUCUUGAUUUGGGUCAGCCUCAUAUACCCAACGGGUCAACGAGGCCAGAUGAAAUGGGCCGACCCAUGGCCUCGCAUACUGACCUUGGGGCCAUGGAGCCGGGUCCAAGGCCAGGGCCAGGUCGGCCCAUUCCCAUCUUGAAGCAGACCCCGCAAAAAUUCGACCCGCAAAACGCGUUUGCUGUUUCACGAAGAUCGAGUUUGCGGGUCGAAAACAUGCACGGGCGAUCAGACACCGUAUCUAAACCUGCAUAAUUUGAAAAACACUUUCGCGGAAGAAAUUGCACAAACAUAGUUCAUCACAUCACAUACUACAAAGUUCAUACAUACUACAGAGUUCAUACAUACUACAUGAUCAACAAAUUAAGCAUAGAUCAUACUACAUGCUACGUUAACUAGUAGUAGAGGGGGUCGGAUCUGACGACGACGAGGUCGUGGCAAAAUGGACGACGCCGUGGAGGUCGAGCGACGCUCAAUCCUCCUCGCCGGAGCUGCACAGGUCGAUGUACUUCGCCGCCUGCUCCGCGCGGAUGCGGCGCCACUCCUCAACCUUCUCGUUGGUAGCGAUGUUGGCGGCGACCACCUGCCGCCACUUGAGGGCUUCGAGCUCCUCGGCGUGGCGCCGGCGCUCCGCCUCCUCGCGCAUGCUCCGCUCGGCGAUGGCGGCAGCAACGGCGUCGAAGUCCGCGACGUAUUCCUCGGGCCCGAGGACUCUGCGGCGGCCGAGCGGAGCGGGCUCCUCGGGCUCCUCCUUCACCGGGACGAAGGUGAACGGCCCCGGCUCCUCCGACUCCCCCUCGUCCUCCGACCACUCCCUCUUCACGGGGAGAAAGCCCGCGCCGGAGGACGAGGAGGAUCCGGCGUAGGAAGAUGUCGCGGAGGAGAAGGACGCGCGUCGGCGGUCGUACUCCUCCUCUCGCGGCGGUUGAGGCUCGUCGGCGACGUCCCGUGGUUGGUCCACCUCCGAGCGCCGCGCUUCCUCGCGCCGUCCGACCGGACGCGCCGCUCGCGCUCCGGGUCCCUCUCACGGCCGGAUCUGCUGCCAGAGCCACGUCUGGAGCUCCACAUUCGGCCCAACAUGGCGGCUGGAGGCGAGGCUGGUGGUCGCCGGCGGCGAAAAAUGUGGAGAGGGAAAAGGGGAAUCGGGUGGCUCGCGGCGGCGGGGGAUAGAGUUUGGACCCGCAAAAUGGACGCGGAAUCACAGUUAUAGUGCUCGGAGCGUGCGGUUUGCGGGUUGCAGCAAAAAAAUUUGUGGCCCGGGCAAGUAUGUGGGCUCUGUUCUGGGCGGAAAAUUAGGCCGAGCCCGCAUACUCGCCGGAAUUUUUGUGGGCCGAGCGUUUUGUGGGGUCUACUAGAGUUGCUCUUACUUUCCUAAUUUCCUUGACCAGAGCCAUCCCUGGAUCGGCAUCUUCAAGAAGAACCAUGGCGCGCCACCUCCCUUCUUCCCUCCCCCCUCCUCUUGUUCUCUAGUGCCCGGAUUUAUCGUUUGCUUUCUUCGAUCCGGAAGAUCCAAGCGCUUUGCUCGAACCGUACUCUAGUUAGGGCUUCAGACUUAGUCGAUCAAUUGAGAUUUGGUGAUUUGUACUGUCCAUGGUGUGCGCAUGACUGGAAUAUUUUGAGGGAUUAUUUGGUGGAACAAGUGAUUUUUCCUUCCACGUCAUAUCAUGAUUUGUUGUCCCCAACAAAUAAGGUUGGUCAGAUCAUUUUUUGUGUUGGAUAUAGAUAAAUAAAGUAGUUGUAAUGGAUCACACUGCAUUGUACUGUGCUUAUAUACGCUGCUUGUUGUUUAAUCAAAAUUUGAUGAUUGAGAAUUUCAUGGAUGUCACAGCCCUAGAUCAGCCCUUGUUUGACUUUUUGCUUGCUCAUCAUGUCAUCAUGUUUAAAUUCUCUUUAAACUUGAAAUGGGGAUCAACAAACCCCAGCACCCCCUGAAAAAUACCAGGUUCAACUGGAAAACAUUUCAGUGAACCCAAAAUGCCCUUCACAAAAGUUCAUCAUUUUUGAAUUGGUCUAAAACCUCUGCCAAAAAUAGUGCACAUUUUUCUAGGUCAACCUGGAUUUUUGAAUUAAAUCAUAUGUAAUUGAAUUGGGACAUUUAAAUACUAUAAAUAAUUUUAAAUGCUCCAACAAUUUUGAAAACAGCUGAGGGCCUCUGAAAUAAUUCAGUUACUGCCCAUAAAUAUUUUCAGGAUUUAUAGAAUGGGUUUGGUAUUAAAACUAAAUCAGAAACAAACUGCAAAAUUAGAAAACAGAAACAAUUAAUAACAGAGAAGAGAGAGCUCACCUGACACAACCCACCUGGCGGCCCAGCUAGUGGCCGAGCCCAUUGGCCGAAGCGGUCGUCUUCAACCUCUACGAGUAGGCAGAGGCGUGUCGACGCCUGUGCAACCGAGGCCUCCACCUCCUCCCUGCCUGCCCGGCCUUCCCGCGUCGCCCUCUCGCGCCCAAGAAACGGGUAACACCGCCCCCCUCACCCACUCCCUUGCCUCUCUGCUCUCUCCCUCUCGCUCCCUCGCUCUCCCCUUCAUUGCCGCAAUUGCCAUGGCCACACCACCGAGAACCACCGCGGCCAGCCACUCCCUCGCUCCAUCUCCGCGUCCCCGAACUUCGUAUCAUCGCCAGCUUCAUCCUCGCCGAGCCAAGCAUCGCCGGAUGCCCUGCAACGCCGACUCCAUCAUCUUCUUCUUCCACGAGCAUCGAGGGCCGUCAUCGUCGAUUCGUCAUCUCCGAUGCUCCCCCGAGCUUGUGGUGACCGCCGAUCAAUCCUCUGUGAGCUCCUGCUUGUUUCCCCCCUCAACCUCGCACCUUUUGCUCGCCGUUGCCAUCGGAUUCGUCAAGCCCGAGACCUCGCCGCCGCCGGCCAUGACGCCGCCGUGGCUAGAGCCACCCGCACCGCGUAUGAGCGCGUAACCGCGACCAGAGCGUCCGCAGGAGCCUGUAGCACCCAGCCGUUCUUGCUCCCGUGCACCACAACGCCGAGCCCGAGCUCGCCGAGCUUUGGCCGCCGCACUUGGCGCCGCCGCCGUCGCUGUAGCGCACCCCAGCUGCUGCCGCUUGCCGCAAUGGAUGCGCGUGAGCCUGGGCGUCUCGUAGAUGCCCUCCACCGGCCAUUUGGUCAUCGUCGGAGGAAUCCCGAGCCCCUCCGCCGUCUUUGGCCUUGCUGGCGACGAGCCGCGGGUCAACUCCGUCGAGUUUGACCCGGGUUGACCUAGUUUGACUCCCUCCCGAGUCACUGAGUAAAGAUUGAUUUAAUCUUGAAGAGAAAUAAAUGUUUGUACAUAGCAAUCAAUGCUUAUUGGUUUCUUUAAUUUAUUUUGUGUAAGAACAUAGUCACUUGCUUGCAGCAGCUCACAGGCUGGCGCUCUAGGCCAUCAGCGGUCCUCAUCUUGCUUCAACACCAAGCGAUAGCAUGAUUACCCUCCUCCUAGAGAUUCGCAGCAACCCUCCCUCUUGCGCCUGACCAAUCAGUUGAGAGAACAAAUGAAAACAGCUUGAGUUGAACAAUUAAGGGUUGUCACCUUGCCACACCUAAGAUAAGGCAAGUUUGAUCAACUUAGAUCGUUGCUGGUUCAAGCCUCACCUUAAGCAAGACGUUUUUUUCUAAAAGAACCACUCAUAUAUUGAUCAAAUAACAAGAGUCUUACAAUCGUUCAUUACAUAGUUAGCCACAUAGGGCGAAACAGUAUUACAAAGCACACCAUCACACCUGCUAUCAAAACUAAAUUUAGCUAUCUCAUGCGUCACCAUGAUAGCCUGCUUGUCAAUCUUAAUAAUCUUGAGAUCCUCAAUAAACUUUGAAGCGUUGAUUGCUUCCUUUUUUUAGAUCCACCAAAGGAGACAUGUCAAAGGUUUUUUUUUUCCAAGAAAAGAUGCAGCAAAAGAGCAACCGAUUUCCAAAAUAAUGGGUUUGAGGAGAGUGAUACCAAUAUAUAACCUGACAAGGCACGCACGAAGUUCCGCUUCGUCCACUCCGAAGCACACACGAAUAAAAUCCCAUGAUGAAACCGGGACUUCUCACAGAUGAUUCCUAGCGAUAACCCCAACGCUAGCCGAUCUCAAACUCUUCGUAAAGCUAGCAUCAACAAUUAUCUUAAUAUACCCAGGAUCGAGAGGCUUCCAAAGAGCGCGAUCAUUUUUUGGUGGACUAACGUUACUUCCCAUCACCAAACACACCCUUACCCUUUUUGCUUAAAUCCACUUGCACACAAUUGUUGACAGUCAUGAAUAUAUUCCAAUAAUUUUCCACGAAGAUAACAGAAGCGGUCAUAGAUUCUAUCCAUUUUCCAAAAAUCAGGUCAUUCCUCACGUGCCGAGCUCUCCAUAACAAAAAUAAAACUUGUCACGUACCGGCGACCCCAUUGGUCAAGCAGGAUGAGGAGCCGGUCCGGCCUCGUAAAUCUGAACAUCUCCUCACCCAGAAUAUUCCGCACUUCCCCCAAGGAGAUACGCCAAGCUCGCACCUUAAGAUAGGUCACAAGGGCAUGGAAAAUACUCUCAUCCUGAACACCACAAAUAGUGCACAAACCCAAAACUGUUUGAUGAUGGGAUACCCUAUUUACCUGCGGUUCAGAUUCGCUGACUUGCCGCCCCAGUCUCGUCCGUCAGAUUGAAAAGCGGCGGACUAGAUCAGGUGCUAUAGUCAACGGUGAUUUGCGUGAACAGUUGUUUAUGUGAAUAGUGUUUGAGAACAGUGAUUUGGCGAAUUUCAGCCUUCGAUUGUUGAUCCUACGACAAAGUCAGCGGGGACUUGUUAUGGCUAAGUCAGCGAAUCUGGAUCCAUUUACCUGUACCGCCAAACUGUUUGUCGCUGCUCUCCAAGUAAAAAUUAUAUUUUUUUUCGGGACUUUAGCCUUUCAAACACAUUCUUCUUUCCUAACGGCACUGCUGGAUAUUCCUGUCUCCUCCCUGCAAUCCUUAAGACUUAAACAUUAGCCUGUACGCACUUUCAACAGAGAACAUACCACUUUUUUCAUAAUGCCUAGAACGAAACAGCCCAUAAGUUCGGUUUUAGACUUUCAGGGUUUCAAUAGUCUCAUUUCUAGCACCCAAGGGUCCAGUGAAUCCAAGAGCAUCUACAGCAGGGCGCCUCAAACCAGCCUCAAACACACAGGCGACCCGGCCAGUCACUGUUCGGUCACGAAAAUCUGAUCCAGACGGGCGCCUCAAACGAGUCUCAAACGUCCGGACUGACCGGUACCCCUCAUAUCCAGCCCAAAUACGGGGCGGAUAUGGGGGCACUGGGGCACGUCCGCCACGUAGGACUGACGGUGGGGUCCCAAAUGGAAACGCCCGGAUACCCGACAGUCCGAAGCUCGUCUCCUCCAUCGGACCGAUGUUGCCGCAUGACGCCGCUCUGGCGGGCCACAUAGUGCCUACCCCGGCUAUUUAAGUCAACUGGCGGCACCGAAACCCUACCAUCCAUAUUUUCCUCCGGCUGUCCGCCGCCGCCGCCACUUUCCACUCCCCCCGCCCGCCUAGUAGCCAUGCCCCAAUGCCGUCGGGUGAGGAGCCACCCAUUUCUAACGCCGGAGCGCCAACUUGAGCUCCUUGAGCAAAUCCGGGCAAGGCAGGAAGCCCGGAUCGCCGCAGGGCUACCUCCUGAUGCAAUGGGCCCGGAGGAGGAGUUGGAGGAGGAGGAUGUGGUGCACGCUGGCGACACGGAUCUGUAGGCGGAGCAGCACGCCAUCCUCGAUUUCCUUCGCUUGGAGUCGGCUGCGGAGGCCAGACGCCGUCGCCGAUAGGAGAUGGAGUCCGCGGAGGAGGCGGAGAUGCUCGCCUACAUGGAUGAGAUUGAGCAGGAGGAGGAUGAGCCGGAGCCCUCCUACCCGUCCGUGCAGCCGGCGCCCGGUACCGUCGUCGUGGGCAUCUCCGACGACGAAGAUUAGUUGAGGUAAUACGUAGUGUGUAGUUCGUAUGAUUUUUUUUUUGCAUGCUUUGUAUGGAUCUAGAAGUUGAAAUAUAAGAGACUCAAAUGCAGAGUUAAUUUGAGAUGUGACCGAUCACCGCCCGCGCACGUGCAUGGUCGCGUCCAUGGCCGUUUGAGGGGCGGGAUUUAUAAAGUCCGGCUGUAGAUGCUCCAACAAUAACCCGUGGCGGUGAACCGGUGAAAAAAGGGUAUAUAUAGAUGGAGGUGGUUUGCCAGAGCCGUUAAUUAAGUUAAACCUACGUUUGUACUACGACGCAGCGCAAUGUAGCGUGCACAUCCAUACAUGUAGUAUCUUACUCCCUCUGUUCCGAAAUAGUUGUCGUUAGGGAAAACUAGUGUACCGAUCGUCACGUUGCGAUUUUUCUUCACUUUCCCAGUUUGCCCUCCCGCUCGCUCUCUCCCCGACCGCUUGCAGCUCUCACUCUCUCCCUGACCACUCGCUCUCUCUCCCCAACAGCUCUCGCUGUCUCCGACCCCGACCGCUCGCCCUCUCGUCGGCCAGUCGCUCGCCGGCCAGUCGCCACCCUCUCCCUCUCGUCGGUGUCUUCCUCACCGCAGUCUUGCACCUCACCACCCAUAACCCUAGCAGCCCGCCUCCCUCUCGUCGGUGAAAGGUGACAUUUUUACCAGUUGGGGUGCUCGAUUCGUGGCGGCGGUGCUCGAUCCGUGGGCGGCGGUACUCGAUCCGUGCUGGAGCAGCGGGAGGAGGAGGCCAAGGUGGAGAUCGUGGUGCGGGAGGGGGAGCUCGGCGAGACGGCGGCUGGAUCUGAAGCGCGGCUGCUCCACCUUCCUCAGGGUGGCGGGGAUCUCCGACUCGCUGUAGAGGAGAAGGGCUCGACCGCUGGCGUCAUCCGCCGCUUCCUCAGGGUUGGCGGCAGCGGGCUGCGUUCCGGCGGGAGGGCGGCACGUUCAAGGUGCUGCAGGUGGCGGACAUGCACUACGCGGACGGGCGAAGCACCGCAUGCGAGGACGUGAUGCCCGAGCAGGUCGCCGGCUGCUCCGACCUCAACAUCACCGCCUUCCUCUACCGCGUCAUCCGCGCCGAGGACCCCGACCUCGUCAUCUUCACGGGUCCGGCCCCCACCCACCCCCUUCCUCUUCCCUGCUCUGUUAUUCUGUUAAUACUUCGAUUGACUAGUGAUUCGUUGGUGCCGCCACUUCUUCCGAUUUCGAGUUAAGAAUUCAGAAGUGCCAUGCAAUGGUGGAGUAAUCCCCAAAGAAAUAAGAAAUCAGAAGCAUGAGCUGCACUGAAAUUGGGUCUAGGUAGUUGCUCAUCCGCCGGGGUUUCAGUUAAUCGAUUGGUCUGUCCAUCCAGGACGAAGAUGAAAUGGUCUGAUUGAUCACGAUUGCCUCCACAUGGAGGUAAAACACAAACAGGAAAGAUGCAAUAGUAGCCGCCUUUGUGAUUAUCUUCAGGUUACUGUUCUGUUUUCGUCGUCUUGUUUCACGGGCGAUCUUGGUGAUGUUUCCAAGGCUGCAAAUCUUGGUGAUGUUUCAGUUAUCAUCUGGAUUUUUUGGUUUUGCCUGUAUGCCCUGUUAUUUUUGUUUGCUAGCUCUGUGGUUCACUGUUUCUGCACCUUUUUCCUCAUGUCUGUACAGUGAUUUGAUGAACACAUAUGGGCUUUUGGCUCUGCUCGAAGUGAUUUUGAAUUUUGUUUGGGUAAGCUAGCUAGCUGAAGGUGAAGAAGCGACAUAUUUUGAAUUCUGCUCUCUGUACUCCACUUUCUCUUCUUGUCUCUUCUUCUCUUUCUCUUCUCUUCUCUUCUCUUUCAUUUAAAUGGAGUAUAUGGAGUAAAAAAUGAUCAAGCCUCACAAAAUGGAGAACAAAAUACACAUACAUUAUUUAACUGUGAUUUAGAGUUAUGAUUAUCUGUAUACUGCUGCUGCUGUAGUUUAAAAGGCUUAAGAUCUUCAGUUAAUUAGGAGUACUUUAGUGUAGGAGUAUUCCAGAUUUAGUGUAGGAGUAAAAAUUAACUAAAUCCUUGUUGUAGCACUACUCUUGCUUGUUAACACUACUCUUGCUUGUUAACUGAAUUACUCUUGGCAGUUCACUACUCGAGGCGCUGGGCUGCGGCUUCAUCGAGGCGGACGACAACCACUCCCGUGCAAAUAAAGGUACAGGCUGGUCCUGGUGGGCGACGAGGACGCCCUGGCCUCUGUAGUUACAUGAGACAACAGUUCUUUGUGCAAAUGUUGACUGAAUUUGCCUCUGACUCGUCUCUGCACUUGACUGAAUUCGCCUCUUUGUGCAAUGUUGCUGCUGCAGGUGAGCAUUCAGGAAAAGAACUCUUUGUGCAAUGAGCAUCCUUUUCUGCUGGAAUAUCAACUUUUUUGGAUGCUCAACCAUCAAUAAACAUAUUGGCUGAACUUCAGGAAAAGGAUGCACUGAAUCUUAGUAAGCGGAUACUCAUAGCCGAAAUCUUUUUGCAAGCAUCAUCACUAGCAUCACAGCCUCAUCGCAAGCAUCAUCACUAGCAUCACAACCUCAUCGCAAGCAUCACAAGCAUCAUCACUAGCAUCACAGCCUCAUCGCAAGCAUCAUCACUAGCAUCACAGCCUCAUCGCAAGCAUCACAAGCAUCAUCACUAGCAUCACAGCCUCAUUUCAAUUUCUAGAUGAUAUUCAGUUCUUUUUUCACAGCAAAACAUCUUUGCUUCAUGCUGAUAUUAGCAUAUUUCACAAGAUCACAAAAUGACUGAAAAUGUCUUUACGAAUUGCAAGCAAGGAAGCAACCAAGAACAUCCUAGCCGAAGUUGCAUGACCCAAUACUAACACCAGAAGUGAUCUCACAGAUGCAGAGCCAUACUUAGUGCCAGAACUAACAUUGUUUUCUUGAGUACUUAAUCAUGAUCUGGAGUACUAGCAUGGAGUAAAUUUUGUGCAAGAGUACAAUUACAAGCAUGAGUACACUGAAUUUUUUGUAGCAGAUGGAGCACAUAAAAAUGGAGUAGCCCACCUACCGUUGAUCUGCUAAUUUGUCAAUUUUCUGCUCCUUGCUGAUCCUUGCUCCUUGCUGAUCCUUGCUCCUACUGUUGAUCUGCUAGUUUUGACAGGUGAACAGAUGGACAGUGGCUGCUCCUUGCUGAUCAAUUCAAAAUUGCUCUGGCGAUCAAUUCAAGCUUGCUGUGACUGGCGAGAAGACGUCCUGGUCAAUCACCACAUCUGAUCAAUUUCUGUCUGUGGCGAGAAGAAGUGGUACAACUCCGGCGAUCAAUUUCUUUGGUGAUUAACAGUUUUGAUCAAUUCAAACAGCAGCACAGGCGGCGCACGGGCGGGGAGGAGCACAGGCUGCUGCUGUUGGUCAGUGAGGGAAGGAGCACGGGCAGAGGUCAAUUGGCCGGAUCCGAAGCUCCAGUGCCUGAAUCGAGGAGCUGGAAGGCUGAGGCAGGAGGAGGAGCACAGGCUGCGAUGCUGCUGCUGUUGGUCAGUGCGGGGAGGAGCACGGACGGAGGUCAAUUGGCCGGAUCCGGAGCUCCAGUGCCUGAAUCGAGGAGCUGGAAGGCUCAGGCAGGAGGAGGAGCACGGGCGGCGCUGCUGCUGGUCGGUGCAGGGAGGAGCACGGGCGGCGCGAAGGCCAGGAGUCGCGGGCGGCUGGAGGCUGUGGCGGACGGCGAGGGAGUUGCGUAUGAGUUUGGGCUCUCAAUUGAAGCGGAGGAAGGCGGCCGGCGAGGGAGCUGCGGCCGGCGCGGGCGGACGCCGGAGCUGCAGCAGUGGGGUGGAGCCUGGCGGAGGGGAGGAGCGAUGGAGGAAGACGAAGAUCCCCGGCGACAAGAAUUUCAAAUUAAGGGUAGUUUGGUACUUUUUCCUGUUUUCACCUGGUCGGAGAAGUUCCCCAACGACAACUAUUUUGGAACAGAGGGAGUAGAUUCCAACCCAUGCACUGUACGGCUGUAAUUUUGCGCACCAACCGGUGUUCGAUACAUCACGAGUGCACCAGACGCUAGCAAGCUCUCUUCUUCUGCAGACAACACUUGCGUACCCGGUGAUGCAACAACCGAACCACCGUUGUACCGCACGCCCCACCGAUACAGGCAUCAACCAGUACGUAGUGAGUACUGAUCUAAAGCAGACACGUUCUACCUACGUACACAUAGGGUUCAGUUGAAACGACCGCCGGCGAGACUGAGCCUGCAUGAAGCUGCGAGGAGAGAAGGAAACGUAGUAGUAAAGCCAACUCCAUCCGUGCGACCUUAAAUAAAGGUUUUUAUCCGGAUUUUGUCCAUCUACAUCAGCCAGAUGCACGUUUUACGGCCACCUGACCAAAUCUGGCCGGUAUGCGGAACCAGUCAGACGCAUUUCGUCCCGGCGCCAGAAAUUUGAAAGAAAAAUAGAAAUCUAAAAAUUAGGGCCAGCGGCCAUAGUCAUGCUAGCAACCAUAGUUUAUGUCGGCCAGAGUGCCAACGUCCGGUAUACCAUGUCAGCCUACAAACAAUCGCCGCCCCUAGUUCACGCCGACAAAUUUGCCAACGGUAGGCGCAGUUGUUGGCACACAAAAAACGGCCAUAGUUCUUACAUCCCGGCCCUAGUUCAUGCCAGCGCACAAGCCGGCGUACAAAAUGAUGUCUCUCUUCAUAGCUCAAUGAUCUAGCUUGAGCAUUGCCUUUUGCUUCUUCUUGAAUCAUGACCUUCUUCUCGGGGACACCUUCCUCAAGUCCAUCGUCAUGAUCUUCACCUUCUUAGCCAUGAAAGUGAGGGCCACCUCUUUUGCUUUGGUCUUGGCAUUAGUCGCCUCAGUUUCAAGCUUAUUCGUUUGGACGCUCUUCUCGAUCUCGAGCUUCUUCUUUUGUAUCUCGAUGUAGGCCUUCAUUUGCUCCUUCUUCUCUCGGCGUUUCCUCUCAUUCCUUGCUUCCUUUCGGGUCAUCAUGCAUUGUAAAGUUUCUUGCAAGGCGAAUGACGCCGCAUCACGCUUCUCGUUCACCUUGGAGUUGGUCUUGUCCCUCGGCCGCUUCUCCCCUUCUUCAUGCUCAACAACGGUCGCCGACCCUCCAUUCUUCUGUUGGGCGGCAUAUUGCUCCUUGAACUUACGGUAAUUGCAAAUGAUCGUUCAACAAUGGAUGAGAGCGAGUAGCUUGUUUCCACGUUGGGCCUUGAAGACUUUCAAAGUUUGUCAAUGCCUACAAAUGAAAGUGAUGGCCACAAUAUAAUAGUGAAGGGCAUAAUGCAAUAAACAUGAAAAGGCAUAUGAACAAAUAGAAGAAAAUGUAUACGCUCACGCCUAUGCCUGGACGACCUUGGGUAGGGCUACAAAUGAGUCGAGUUUGAGCAAGCUGGAUUAGGCUCAGCUCAACUUAUUAAAAAAUCCGAGCGAGCUCAAACCAAGUGAAGCUCAAAGUCGAACUAUAGAUAAUGGCUCGGGCUUAGCUUGUAACGAUCUUGAGCUAGUUUCGAGCUAAAUAAGAUGAUAAUUUUUUUCAUAAUUUAAGACAAAAUUUCAAAUAAGAUAGGCCACAAUGCCAUAAAAGCCAUUCUAUAAUUCAACCUAUUCUUUCUAAAUUAGAGACUAGUACUUAAUAGAAGAGAUCAUGGAAGAACUAGUAGCAAGAAAAAAAGAUGAAGUUGCAUCUACUCUCAAACUUUGUCAAAAUAACAUGAUAUUUAACACAUGGUGAUCGGAUACCAUAGUGGGGCUAAAUUUUCUCUGCGGUUAAUUAAUCUUCCAUGUUUAGCAUGCAAUAGGUAAAAUGGAGGAAAAUCGUACACAACGUAUAUGGUAAGAAAUUGUUUUUGACUAUCUAUAUGGUAAUAAAUUAUCCCAUUUAUAUUUAAUAUAUAUAUCAAAAUUAUGUAAUAUAAUUAUAUGAUCUCGGGCAAUCAAGCUAAAAUCAAGCGAGCCAGUGUUGGCUCAAGAUCAGCUUAUUUCUCAAUCGAGCUACAUAAAAUGUUCAUACUCAGCUCAUUUCUUUUUGAUUCGAUCUCGAGUCGAGCCAAAAUACAAGUUGAUCUCGAGUUGCUCGUGAGCCUCGAGCCUUUCUUGCAGCCCUAACCUUGGGUUUUUAAGGGGGGCAUAAAACUUGUUGCAUUUUUGUUGGAUGAACCCUCACCUCUUUUGAAUUGAACUGACACCAUGGUUACCCGGAAACUUGUAGGGCGGGAACUUUCUACGUUCAUGAAAGUAUGCAUGAACUUCUCGGACAAAAAACUGCUCAAUUUUGCUCGGCGCCGGUCUUGAGAUAGUACUCUAUUUUCCGAAAGUGCUAUUGUGAGCUCGAGCUCACAGGCACCCUUUGCUACAGUACAAACAAAAAUAUAUUUAAAAAGUUAAAAAAAAUCUGAAUUUUUUUGGCAACAAACAUUGACAUAUUUUUCACAUGCGUAUAAAUUUUCAUGACAAAAUGACAUUCAUGCAGGUCUCAGCAAAAAAAAAACAAAAUCGAUGCUCCAAAAUGCUUCCAAAAACAGUUUUUUUGGAGCAUGAUUUUGUUUUUUUGCUGACACCUCCACAAAUGUCAUUUCAUCACGAAAAUUGGCACGCAUAUAGAAAAAACAUCAAAGUUUCUUGACAAAAAAAUUCAGAUUUUUUUGAAUUUUUUUACUAUUUUUUCUGAUUUUACUGUUCAUCCGGGAUCACUGGUGCCCGUGAUCAAUUCCUCCGCGUCCUCUAUUUUCUUCCAACCUUCACAAAGAAAAAAAAACCGGUGUGAACAACCAAACGUGUCAAUAGGUUCGGAGAGCGUGAACUGACUGCCAGCGAGACCGAGGCCUGCCCGAAGCUGCGAGGAGCGAAGAAAACGUACUACUCCCUCCGUUCCAAAAUAGAUGACCCAACUUUGUACUUAGNNNNNNNNNNNNNNNNNNNNNNNNNNNNNNNNNNNNNNNNNNNNNNNNNNNNNNNNNNNNNNNNNNNNNNNNNNNNNNNNNNNNNNNNNNNNNNNNNNNNNNNNNNNNNNNNNNNNNNNNNNNNNNNNNNNNNNNNNNNNNNNNNNNNNNNNNNNNNNNNNNNNNNNNNNNNNNNNNNNNNNNNNNNNNNNNNNNNNNNNNNNNNNNNNNNNNNNNNNNNNNNNNNNNNNNNNNNNNNNNNNNNNNNNNNNNNNNNNNNNNNNNNNNNNNNNNNNNNNNNNNNNNNNNNNNNNNNNNNNNNNNNNNNNNNNNNNNNNNNNNNNNNNNNNNNNNNNNNNNNNNNNNNNNNNNNNNNNNNNNNNNNNNNNNNNNNNNNNNNNNNNNNNNNNNNNNNNNNNNNNNNNNNNNNNNNNNNNNNNNNNNNNNNNNNNNNNNNNNNNNNNNNNNNNUUUGUACUUAGUACAAAGUUGGGUCAUCUAUUUUGGAACGGAGGGAGUAGUAGUUAACGCUAGAGCCAAGAGAGGGGCUCACGGGAGCACCGGUACCUACGUCGGCAAUCACAUGCUGGCCGGGCCGGGCCGGGACGGGACCGCGCGGGGGCGGGCGACCGACACGAGUGACGAGCGCUUUAAACCACCUCUCGUUUUCAUGCGAUCCAUGCGACCAUGCCCGGCCUCGCCGACCGACCCAGCAAACUCCUUGAAUCCAUUUAGUACUGGUUGAAUUCAUCCAUACGCUACUUCGACCACUUUCGAACGUUACGGAUAUCGCAAGAAUUUACUCUUGUACGUACGUGUUGCAGCGGUGUCCACUGUACGCCUGUACCACUGAAUUGAAACACCAGCCAGCCCAAUGUGUAGGUAUGCCGCCAUCUUCAACAGUACAACUUCUUUAUUGGAUCCGACAGUACGCGGUACGCUGGAGGAGAGCGUCUACAAAACGUUUUCGAUCUCAGCCGUCUCUGCCGACCGACGGGAUGGAGUGUGGACCGGGGGCAGGUGUGUUCCACUGGCGUCACUAAUCAAUCACCAUGUANNNNNNNNNNNNNNNNNNNNNNNNNNNNNNNNNNNNNNNNNNNNNNNNNNNNNNNNNNNNNNNNNNNNNNNNNNNNNNNNNNNNNNNNNNNNNNNNNNNNNNNNNNNNNNNNNNNNNNNNNNNNNNNNNNNNNNNNNNNNNNNNNNNNNNNNNNNNNNNNNNNNNNNNNNNNNNNNNNNNNNNNNNNNNNNNNNNNNNNNNNNNNNNNNNNNNNNNNNNNNNNNNNNNNNNNNNNNNNNNAUAAACAAGAACUCGCAGCCUUCAGACGAAAUUGUAUUCAUAUUACCUGUAUUGGUUGCGAGCUUUGGAACCUCAGUGAGACCACACCAUGGGUACUAUAGAUCAGCUUUUCGGUCUCUUUUUAGUCCCAAUUCAAGUAACUAGAUGAACAAAUAUGUGCCACCAACGGCAAGACAAAUCCUUUAAUGGGACCAAGUCAAUAAGAGUGCUAAUCAAACUCAUACAGGGAACCAAAAUAACUGGACAGGGAGUGGCCGACCGGCCGGCCAUUCAUGUAGAUGCAGGCAAGAACAUCGGUGGCAAUAGAUUAGUGGUGAAGACACAGCUCGAGCACGCCCUUGUUUCUCGCUAUCCCUGGCUGCGCGCGCCAUCUAGAGGUGGAGCUCUUCGAGAGUCAGCGCCGAGCUAGUAUGGCAUCAGUCGUGCCGGAUGAGAUGGAGCUGCCAAGCGCCUGAAUAGCAAUGGUUGGGGAGCAGACGAGCUAUGCAUGCGUGAAGCUAAGGCAUGUACAAUGAUUGAUAAAACAGCCUUAUCUUAAGUUUUGCAUUUAAUUUAGAGAUGACAAAAAAGUAUGCCUACAAUGGGUUAUAUCUUAGCUUUAUCUUCAAUAAUUAGUUAUUCCUUAAAACAUGGUGAGACAAAUUGUGCUAAGAGAUCAUCUCUUAUCUUAUCUUAAAUAAAAGAAGACAAGCAUUUUCUUAUGAGUUCUCUCUCCUCCACCUUAGUAUUUAUCCUACAUGGCACUCCUAGUAUAGCACCAUUGUACAUGCCCUAAUGGAUAUGCAUGCGUGAGAACAUGAGACUGAGGCAGACUGCAUGGGCCACUAGUAGUAAAUAAAAAAUGAAUCUACUUUGGGCUGGGGGGGACACGGCCCCCUCAAGUUUGUACAUAGCUCCGCCUUUGCAUGUACCGUUGGUCUCUAAUAAGUGUUACACUGUAUAUAUACUAGGACUCUUGUAUACACCUGUAUUUGUACUCUACCCUUUGGUACUCAUAUAUAAUGAGAUAGCCAUACCCCGUUUAGGGUGUCGAGCAGUUUCUCAAACUGUAUGUUUUACAUGGUAUCAGAUUAGGGUUUCGAUGUCUUCUGCUGCCCUUGCCGCCGCCGCCGCCUCGGCCUCUUCCAACAUCGCCGUCGCUGCAUCGGCCCAAGCACCGGCCUCCACCGCCGCUUCCUCGUCGCCCUUCAUGGCGUCCCGCCCACUGGCUAUGGCCUGGUGGCAGGCUCAGCCGCCCGACGGGACUCCCGCGGGUCAGAUCGGAUCGAGCGGGUCAGGCGGCCUGCCCCCGCCGGCUUCUUCCGGCGCUCCAUCCUCGACCUUCGCCCAUGUGCUGCCGAGUCCUCGCGACCCUGCGUCCGCGCCUGUCGCGGCCCCUCCGCCAUUCUACGGUGUGCCCUGAUAUGGCGCCCCUGCACCGACCUUUGGCGCCAUGCCGCCGUCCUCGUCGGCCUGGCCGGCGCCCUAUGGCGUGCCGCCGGUGCAACCCUAUGCUGGGUUGUCGCACCACCAGCCCUACAUGGUGUCGCCGCCGUCCUUGCUGCCCUACGGGGCUACACCUCAUGUGCCUUCUGGAGCCUCGACUGGCCCGGGUGAUGGCUCUUUGGUUCCUGGUGCCUACCCUUCGUAGCCAUACGCGGGCGCGUCUCUGGCGAUCGCCCCUCAUUCAGACACGGAUCCUCUGCUGGGUUGCUAUGCACCACCCGCGCUGGCUCAUGCGGACCAUGCGGUGGCGCCAUCACCGUUCUACUUCUCGCACCUCCUUCCGGUGAAGCUUACGCCGAAUAAUUAUUUGUCGUGGCGGGCCCAGGUACUGCCUCUCCUUCGCAGCCGUUACUUGGAGGGAUAUGUCGAUGGCUCCAUCCCAUGUCCGCCACCGUACCAUCCGGCGCAUCAGGUGGCCCAGGACCAGGCGAUCCUCCCCGCUAUUCAGUCGUCGCUUUCUCCGAGCGUGUCGUUGCUGGUCAUCUUCGCCGCGACGUCGCGAGAUGCUUGGUCGGUGCUUCACAGCAGCUUCCCCUCCCAAUCUCAGGCGCGUGCUCAUUCUAUCCGCAUCGAGUUGGGAGAGACUAAGCUCGGCGGUCUCACCAUCACUGAGUACUUCACCAAGAUGUCUGGCCUCGCCGACACCUUGGCCUAGAUUGGUCAGCCGCUUGGAGAUGAGGAUUUCAGCACCCACGUGCUCAACGGCCUUGAUGACGACUAUGACAAUCUCAUCGAGAACAUUCAUGGUCGUGAGGUGCCACUUCUGCCGCGAGAGCUCUAUGCGCGUCUUCUUGGUUGUGAACAGCGCAUCAAAGCGCGUCGAGCCUCUUCGAGUUUCGUCUCCACCAACGCCGCGACCCGCGGUAAGCCACAUAAGCCGUCGCCGCUCGGUGGGAAGCCGGCUCCCUCAUCCCCGCAGGCUCCGCGGUGCGCCGCGCCGUCCAUCACUGGCGGUAUCAGGCCGGUGGCUUGUUGUCCCCGCUGCGGCGCUCAGCAAGCCUGUCAGCUGUGUGACCUUGAGCGUCACAUCGCCUCUCGCUGUCAUCGAUGCUACAAGCAAGAUUUUCUCGGCCUGGGUAAUAAUGGCAAAGUGAAUGAGAAACGGGCUGUUGUGGUGACGAGUCAUGAACAUGGGCGCACUCCGUCUUACUCUAUUGAUCCUACAUGGUACAUGGACACGGGAGCCACGAACCACCUCACCAACGAGAUGGCUAAGCUUUCCACUCAGGAGCCGUAUCAUGGUCAUGAUCAGGUGCACACCGCCAAUGGAGCAGGUAUGUGCAUCUCCCAUGUUGGUCAGGCUUCACUUCUUGCACAUAAUUAUCGAAAACUGCAUCUUUCCAAUGUUGUUCGUGUUCCCGCUGCUACACGUAGUUUGUUGUCUGUUGCUCAACUUACUCGUGAUAAUAAUGUCCUUGUUGAGUUUCACCAUUUUUGUUUCUUUAUCAAGAAUCGGACACGAGGGCCGUUCUGCUUAGUGGUCGUCUUCGCCAUGGUUUAUAUGCACUUGACGCGCCGCCCACAUCUCAUAUGCAGUCUUCUCCUCAGGCGUUCAGCGGUGUUCGUGUGUCACCUACACAUUGGCAUGCGCGCCUUGGUCACCCUACUGCUUCUAUAGUUCGUCAUGUGCUACAUCAUCAUGAACUACUAGUUGUGUCCAAUAAAACUGCUGAAACUAUUUGUGAUGCCUGUCAGCAGGGCAAGAGUCAUCAACUUCCGUUUUCAGAGUCUAGUUGUGUUGUGAAACAUCCUCUUGAGCUUGUGUUUUCUGAUGUAUGGGGUCAUGCCCAAACGUCUGUUAGUGGUCAUAAUUAUUAUGUCAGUUUCAUUAAUGCUUAUAGCCGGUUUACUUGGCUUUAUCUUAUUAAGCGAAAGUCUGAUGUGUUCGAUGUUUUUAUUCAGUUUUAAGCACACGUUGAACGUCUCCUUAAGCAGAAAAUUAUCCAUGUUCAAUCCGACUGGGGGGUGAAUACCACAACCUCAACACGUUCUUCAACAAACUUGGGACUUUGUACCGUGUGUCUUGUCCUCAUACACAUCAGCAGAAUGGAACCGCUGAACGUAAGCAUCGACAUCUUGUAGAAACUGGUCUUACUUUGCUAGCUCAUGCCUCCGUUCCGUUUAGGUUCUGGAGUGAUGCUUUCUCCAUUGUCUGUUUUUUGAUCAAUAGGCUUCCUUCACGACUCCUGAAUAUGAAAACCCCGCUUGAACUCUUGCUCCAUGAAAUUCCAGAUUACACAUUCCUCAAAGUGUUUGGGUGUGCAUGUUGGCCCCAUUUGCGUCCGUACAACAAAUGUAAGAUAGAGUUUCGGUCUAAAAAGUGUGUUUUUCUUGGGUAUAGUUCCCUUCACAAAGGGUACACAUGCCUGCACGUUCCCACCAAUCGCGUCUUCAUAUCUCGUGAUGUUGUAUUUGAUGAGAAUGUGUUCCCCUUUCAUGCACUUCCGACGAACUUUGCCACUCCUACGCCACCUGUUCACUCUACCACACCCUCGCCUGAUCAAUUUGUGGAUGUUGCAAAUACUCAUGUGUUGCUUCCUAAUCAUGCUGCAGGUAUUGGACGUGGUGCUCGUCUUGAGCUGCUUGAUGAACAGACGCCGAAUGAUGUUUCAGAACGGGGCGUGGGUCGUAUGCAUGGGACAUGCAUAGCGGGUGGCGCCCAACAGCCCGUGGAGGCUACACCCGUGGUCAACCCGCGGGCGUCGCUCUCUCCCGCGGCCACCCCGCGAGCGUCGCUCCCAUCGAGCCUGGUGGUUACCUCGCCUGGCCCAUCUCCCGGCCCAGUGGCUGGGUCUCCUGCUCCAACUGCCGCCUCGCCCAGCCCAGCUACUGGGUCCCCUGUGCCGACUGACCCGGCUCUGGAUGGGCCGGCCGCUCGUGGCCCGACACCACCUGCAUCCCCAUUGCCAGGUCACUCUGGCACCGGCCCGCAGGGUGCUUCGGCCUCGCCUCUGCUGAUGUCGUCCUCUGCACCGACUCCGGCAUCGUCAGCACAACCCACUGUUGUUGCUCUUCGUCCUCAAACACGCAGCCAAACGGGCGCUUUUCAGCCAAAGAAACGCACUGACGGGACCGUCGCGUGGCUCGCUGCUUGCAUGGCUCAUAUUGCUGCUGAUCCUACUGCUGAGCCUCGCCAUUUUCAGGCUGCAUUGGGUAUUCCCCACUGGCGUGCUGUGAUGGAACAGGAGUUUCAGGCCCUGCUGAAGAAUGACACUUGGCAUCUUGUUCCUCCAUUGACUGGUGUUAAUGUUAUUGAUUUUAAGUGGGUUUUCAAAGUCAAGAGACAUGCUGAUGGGUCUAUUGAGCGCUACAAAGCCAGGCUAGUUGCCAAAGGUUUCAAACAGAGGUAUGGUCUUGAUUAUGAAGACACAUUCAGUCCAAUUAUCAAGCCCACUACUAUUCGUUUGCUGCUGUCUCUUGUUGUUACUCGCGGAUGGUUUCUUCGUCAGCUUGAUGUGCAGAAUGCUUUCUUGCAUGGGGUCUUGGAGGAAGAGGUUUAUAUGCAUCAGCCGCCGGGUUUUGUGAAUCCUGCACGUCCUCAUCAUCUCUGUCGUCUUGUUAAGGCGCUAUAUGGACUUAAACAUGCUCCCCGUGCGUGGCAUGCUCGUCUUGGCUCUGUUCUUCGGGCGCUGGGGUUUCUUCCCUCCACAACUGACACGUCCUUGUUUCUUCUUCAGCGUCCUGAGGUUACGAUGUAUCUACUUGUUUAUAUUGAUGAUGUCAUCCUCGUCAGUUCCUUCGAUGCUGCUGCUGAUCGUCUUGUGGUUGCCUUGAGUGGUGAUUUUGCUGUCAAGGACUUAGGUGCUCUGCAUUUUUUUCUUGGUCUGGAGGUUUCACGGUCUUCUGCUGGGUUGAUUCUUACUCAGAAGAAGUAUUCUCUGGACUUGUUGCGUUGUGCUGGCAUGCUGAAGUGUAAACAUGCGAUCACUCCGAUGUCUGCUACUGAUCGACUGUCUGCUCUUGAUGGAGAUCUUCUUCCACCUGAUGAUGCUACCGAGUAUCGCAGUCUCGUUGGUGGUCUGUAGUAUCUUACUAUCACCAGACCCGAUGUUUCCUAUGCAGUCAACCGUGUCUGUCAGUACCUCCAUGCACCCAGGACGUCUCAUUGGUCAGCUGUGAAGCGUAUCCUCCGUUAUAUCUGCCUCACUGCUUCCUAUGGUAUGCUUCUCCAGCCUGCACCGUCUUGUGAGAUCUCAGCAUUUUCAGAUGUAGAUUGGGCUGGCAGUCCUGAUGACAGGUGAUCCACGGGGGGACAUGCAGUGUUUCUUGGUCCCAACUUGAUCGCCUGGAAUGCUCGCAAGCAAGCUAUGGUGUCUCGCGGCAGUACUGAAGCUGAGUACAAAGCAGUUGCUGAUGCGACUGCUGAGAUCAUAUGGGUUCAGUCCUUGUUGAAAGAAUUGAGAGUCUCUCCUGCUCAUCCUCCAGUGCUUUGAUGUGACAAUAUUGGUGCUACUUAUCUUGUUGGGGAACGUAGCAGAAAUUCAAAAUUUUCCUACGUGUCACCAAGAUCUAUCUAUGGAGAAACCAACAACGAGGGAAAGGAGAGUGCAUCUACAUAUCCUUGUAGAUCGCUAAGCGGAAGCGUUCAAGAGAACGGGGUUGACGGAGUCGUACUCGUCGUGAUCCAAAUCACCGGAGAUCCUAGUGUCGAACGGACGGCACCUCCGCGUUCAACACACGUACAACCCGGUGACGUCUCCCAUGCCUUGAUCCAGCAAGGAGAGAGGGAGAGGUUGAGGAAGACUCCGUCCAGCAGCAGCACGAUGGCGUGGUGGUGGUGGAGGAGCGUGGCAAUCCUGCAGGGCUUCGCCAAGCACCGCGAGAGAGGAGGAGCACUUGGGAGAGGGGGAGGGCUGCGCCAGAACUUGGGGUGCGGCUGCCCUCCCACCCCCACAUAUAUAUAGGGGCAAGGGAGAGGGGGGCCGGCCUCCUCAGAUCCAAUCUGAGGAGGGGGCGGCGGCCAAGGGGGGGAGGAGUGCCUCCCAAGUCAAGUGGAGGCCCUCCCCCUUAGGGUUUCCCCUCUCCCAUGCGCAUGGGCCUUGGGGGGGCUGGUGCCCCUAGCCCAUUAAGGCUAGGGCGCCCCCUACAGCCCAUGCUACUGUAUUAGACGUGGUGGAACAAUUUCCGGACCUCCGGAUCCCUCCGGAAUCCUCCGGAACCUUCUGGAAGCUUCCCGGUACAAUACCCAAAAAAAAACCGAACUUUUUCCGGAACCCGGAAAACAACUUUCCAUAUAUAAAUCUUUACCUCCGGACCAUUCCAGAACUCCUUGUGACGUCCGGGAUCUCAUCCGGGACUCCGAACAACAUUCGGUAACCACAUAAAAACUUCCUUUAUAACCCUAACGUCAUCGAACCUUAAGUGUGUAGACCCUACGGGUUCGGGAACCAUGUAGACAUGACCGAGACAUUCUCCGGCCAAUAACCAACAGCGGGAUCUGGAUACCCAUGUUGUCUCCCACAUGUUCCACGAUGAUCUCAUCGGAUGAACCACGAUGUCAAGGACUCAAUCGAUCCUGUAUUCAAUUCCCUUUGUCUAGCGGUAUUGUACUUGCCUGAGAUUCGAUCGUCGGUAUGCCGAUACCUUGUUCAAUCUCGUUACCGGCAAAUCUCUUUACUCGUUCUGUAACACAUCAUCCCGCGAUCAACUCUUUGAUCACAUUAUGCACAUUAUGAUGAUGUCCUACCGAGUGGGCCCAGAGAUACCUCUCUGUCACAUGGAGUGACAAAUCCCAGUCUCGAUUCGUGCCAACCCAACAGACACUUUUGGAGAUACCUCUAGUGCACCUUUAUAGCCACCCAGUUACGUUGUGACGUUUGGUACACCCAAAGCAUUCCUACGGUAUCCGGGAGUUGCACAAUCUCAUGGUCUAAGGAAAUGAUACUUGACAUUAGAAAAGCUUUAGCAUACGAACUACGAUCUUUGUGCUAGGUUUAGGAUUGGGUCUUGUCCAUCACAUCAUUCUCCUAAUGAUGUGAUCCCGUUAUCAACGACAUCCAAUGUCCAUGGUCAGGAAACCGUAACCAUCUAUUGAUCAACGAGCUAGUCAACUAGAGGCUUACUAGGGACAUGGUGUUGUCUAUGUACCCACACAUGUAUCUGAGUUUCCUAUCAAUACAAUUAUAGCAUGGAUAAUAAACGAUUAUCAUGAACAAGGAAAUAUAAUAAUAACUAAUUUAUUAUUGCCUCUAGGGCAUAUUUCCAACAGUCUCCCACUUGCACUAGAGUCAGUAAUCUAGUUCACAUCGCCAUGUGAUUAACACUGACAGAUCACAUCGCCAUGUGACCAACAUCCAAAGAGUUUACUAGUGUCACUAAACUAGUUCACAUCAUCAUGUGAUUAAGACUCAAUGAGUUCUGGGGUUUGAUCAUGUUUUGCUUGUGAGAGAGGUUUUAGUCAACGGGUCUGCAACAUUCAGAUUCGUAUGUACUUCGCAAAUCUCUAGGUCAUAUUGUAAAUGCUGCUUCCACGCUCCACUUGGAGCUAUUCCAAAUGGUUGCUCCACUAUACGUAUCCGGUUUGCUACUCAGAGUCACUCGGAUAGGUGUUAAAGCUUGCAUCGACGUAACCCUUUACGCCGAACUCUUUAUCACCUCCAUAAUCAAGAAACAUGUCCUUAUUUACUCCAAGGACAAUUUUGACCACUGUCCAAUGAUCCAUUCCUGGAUCAUUCUUGUACCCCUUGACUGACUCAUGGCAAGGCACACUUCCGGUGCGGUACACAACAUAGCAUACUAUAGAGCCUACGUCUGAAGCAUAGGGCACGACAUUCGUCCUUUCUCUCUCUUCUGCCGUGGUCGAGCUUUAAGUCUUAACUUCAUACCUUACAACUCAUGCAAGAACUCCUUCUUUGACUGGUCCAUCUUGAACACCUUCAAGAUCAUGUCAAGGUAUAUGCUCAUUUGAAAGUACCAUUAAGCGUUUUUGAUCUAUCCUCAUAGAUCUUGAUUCUCAAUGUUCAAGUAGCUUAAUCCAGGUUUUCUAUUGAAAAACACCUUUUAAAUAACCCUACAUGCUUUCCAGAAAUUCUACAUCAUUUCUGAUCAACAAUAUGUCAACAACAUAUACUCAUCAGAAAUUCUAUAGUGCUCCCACUCACUUCUUUGGAAAUACAAGUUUCUCAUGAACUUUGUAUAAACCUAAAAUCUUUGAUCAUCUUAUCAAAGUGUAUAUUCCAACUCCGAGAUGCUUACUCCAGUCCAUGGAAGGAUCGCCGGAGCUAGCAUACCUUUUAGCAUCCUUAGGAUCGACAAAACCUUUCUGAUUGUAUCACAUACAACUUUUCCUUACGAAAACUGGUAAGGAAACUCGUUUUGACAUCCAUCUGCUAGAUUUCAUAAAUGCAACUAAUGCUAACAUGAUUCCGACGGACUUAAGCAUCGCUACGGAUGAGAAAAUCUCAUCAUAGUCAACUCCUUGAACUUGUGAAAAACUCUUCGCCACAAGUCGAGCUUCAUAGACGGUGACAUUACCGUCCACGUCCGUCUUCUUCUUAAAGAUCCAUUUAUCUCAAUGGCUUGCCGAUCAUCGGGCAAGUCCACCAAAGUCCAUGCUUUGUUAUGAUACAUGGAUCCUAUCUCGGAUUUCAUGGCUUCUAACCAUUUGUUGGAAUAUGGGCCCACCAUCGCUUCUCCAUAGCUCGUAGGUUCAUUGUUGUCUAGCAACAUGAUCUUCAAGACAGGAUUACUGUACCACUCUGAAGUAGUACACAUCCUUGUCACCCUAUGAGGUACGGUAGUGACUUGAUCCGGAACUUCAUGAUCAUUAUCAUAAGCUUCUACUUCAAUUGGUGUAGGCACCACAGGAACAACUUCCAGUGCCCUGCUACACACUUGUUGAAGUGACGGUUCAAUAACCACAUCAAGUCUCCACCAUCCUCCCACUCAAUUCUCGAGACAAACCUUUCCUCGAGAAAGGACCCGAUUCAAGAAAUAAUCCCUAUUGCUUUCGGAUCUGAAUUAGGAGGUAUACCCAACUGUUUUGGGUGUCCCAUGAAGAUGCAUUUUAUCCGCUUUGGGUUCGAGCUUAUCAACCUGAAACUUUUUCACAUAAGCGUCGCAGCCCCAAACUUUUUAAGAAACGACAACUUAGGUUUCUCCAAACCAUAGUUCAAAUGGUGUCGUCUCAACGGAAUUCCGUGGUGCCCUAUUAAAGUGAGUGCGGUUGUCUCUAACGCCUAACCCAUGAACGAUAGUGGUAAUUCGAUAAGAGACAUCAUGGUACGCACCAUAUCCAAUAGGGUGCAACUAUGAUGUUCGGACACACCAUCACACUAUGGUGUUCCAGACGGUAUUAAUUGUGAAAGAAUUUCCACAAUGUCUUAAUUGCGUGCUAAAGCUCGUAACUCAGAUACUCAUCUCUAUGAUCAUAUAAUAGACAUUUUAUCCUCUUGUCACGAUGAUCUUCAACUUCACUCUGAAAUUACUUGAACCAUUCAAUAAUUCAGACUUGUGUUUUAUCAAGUAAAUAUACUCAGUAUCUACUCAAAUCAUCCGUGAAGUAAGAACAUAACGAUAUCCACUGCGUGCCUCAGCACUCAUUGGAUUGCACACAUCAAAAUGUAUUACUUCCAACAAGUUGCUUUCUUGUUCCAUUUUACUGAAAACGAGGCUUUCAGUCAUCUUGCCCAUGUGGUAUGAUUUGUAUGUCUCAAGUGAUUCAAAAUCAAGAGAGUCCAAACGAUCCAUCUGCAUGGAGUUUCUUCAUGCAUAUACACCAAUAGACAUGGUUCGCAUGUCUCAAACUUUUCAAAACGAGUGAGUCCAAAGAUCCAUCGACAUGGAGCUUCUUCAUGCGUUUUACACCAAUAUGACUUACAUGGCAGUGCCACAAGUAAGUGGUACUAUCAUUACUAUCUUAUAUCUUUUGGCAUGAAAAUGUGUAUCACUACGAUCGAGAUUCAAUAAACCAUUCCUUUAGGUGCAAGACCAUUGAAGGUAUUAUUCAAAUAAAUAGAGUAACCAUUAUUCUCCUUAAAUGAAUGACCGUAUUGCGAUAGACAUAAUCCAAUCAUGUCUAUGCUCAACGGAAACACCAAAUGACAAUUAUUCAGGUUUAAUACUAAUCUUGAUGGUAGAGGGAGCGUGUGAUGUUUGAUCACAUCAAACUUGGAAACACUUCCAACACAUAUCGUUAGCUCACCUUUAGCUAGUCUCCGUUUAUUCAGUAGCUCUUUUAUUUCGAGUUACCAACACUUAGCAACCGAACCGGUAUCUUAAUACCCUGGUGCUACUAGGAGCACUAGUAAAGUACACAUUAACAUAAUGUAUAUCCAAUACACUUCUAUCGACCUUGCCAGCCUUCUCAUCUACCAAGCAUCUAGAGUAAUUCUGCUCCAGUGGCUGUUCCCCUUAUUACAGAAGCACUUAGUCUCGGGUUUGGGUUCAACCUUGGGUUUCUUCACUAGAGCAGCAGCUGAUUUGCCGUUUCAUGAAGUAUCCCUUCUUGCCCUUGCCCUUCUUGAAACUAGUGGUUUCACCAACCAUCAACAAUUGAUGCUCCUUCUUGAUUUCUACUUUCGCGGUGUCAAACAUCGCGAAUACCUCAAGGAUCAUCAUAUCUAUCCCUGAUAUGUUAUAGUUCAUCACGAAGCUCUAGCAGCUUGGUGGCAAUGACUUUGGAGAAACAUCACUAUCUCAUCUGGAAGAUCAACUCCCACUCGAUUCAAGUGAUUGUUGCACUCAGACAAUCUGAGCACAAGCUCAACGAUUGAGCUUUUCUCCAUUAGUUUGCAGGCUAAGAAAAUCGUCGGAGGUCUUAUACCUCUUGACGUGGGCACGAGCCUGAAAUCCCAAUUUCAGCCCUCGAAACAUCUCUUAUGUUCCGCGACGUUUCGAAAAACGUCUUUGGUGCCUCUACUCUAAACCAUUUAACUGAACUAUCAUGUAGUUAUCAAAACGUCUAUGUCCGAUGUUCACAACAUCCACAGACGACAUUUGGGGUUCUGCACACUGAGCGGUGCAUUAAGGACAUAAGCUUUCUACUGAUCGCAUAAUCGCUACUGUCAACUUUCAACUAUUUUUCUCUAGGAACAUAUCUAAAACAGUAGAACUAAAAGCGCGAGCUAUGACAUAAUUUGCAAGGGCUUUUGACUAUGUUCAGGAUAAUUAAGUUCAUCUAAUGAACUCCCACUCAGAUAGACAUCCCUCUAGUCAUCUAAGUGAUUACAUGAUCCAAGUCAACUAGGCCGUGUCCGAUCAUCACGUGAGACGGACUAGUCAUCAUCGGUGAACAUCUUCAUGUUGAUCGUAUCUACUAUACGACUCAUGCUCGACCUUUCGGUCUCUUGUGUUCCGAGGCCAUGUCUGUACAUGCUAGACUCGUCAAGUUAACCUAAGUGUUUCGCGUGUGUAAAUCUGGCUUACACCCGUUGUAUGUGAACGUAAGAAUCUAUCACACCCGAUCAUCACGUGGUGCUUCGAAACGACGAACUUUCGCAACGGUGCACAGUUAGGGGGAACACUUUCUUGAAAUUUUAAUGAGGGAUCAUCUUAUUUACUACCGUUGUUCUAAGCAAAUAAGAGUCAUAAACAUGAUAAACAUCACAUGCAAUCAAAUAGUGACAUGAUAUGGCCAAUAUCAUAUUGCUCCUUUUGAUCGCCAUCUUCGGGGCUCCAUGAUCAUCAUCGUCACCGGCAUGACACCAUGAUCUCCAUCAUCAUGAUCUCCAUCAUCGUGUCUCCAUGAAGUUGUCUUGCCAACUUAUUACUACUACUACUAUGGCUACCGGUUAGCAAUAAAGUAAAGUAAUUACAUGGCGUUGUUCAAUGACACGCAAGUCAUACAAUAAAUAAAGACAACUCCUAUGGUUCCUGCCGGUUGUCAUACUCAUCGACAUGCAAGUCGUGGUUCCUAUUACAAGAACAUGAUCAAUCUCAUACAUCACAUAUCAUUCAUCACAUUCUUCUUGGCCAUAUCACAUCACAUAGUAUACCCUGCAAAAACAAGUUAGACGUCCUCUAAUUGUUGUUUGCAUGUUUUAUGUGGCUGCUAUGGGUUUCUAGCAAGAACGUUUCUUACCUACACAAAAACCACAACGUGAUAUGUCAAUUGCUAUUUACCCUUCAUAAGGACCCUUUUCAAUGAAUCCGAUCCGACUAAAGUGGGAGAGACUGGCACCCGCUAGCCACCUUAUGCACAAAGUGCAUGUCAGCGUGGAACCUCUCUCACGUAAGUGUACGUGUAAGGUCGGUCCGGGCCGCUUCAUCCCACAAUACCGUCGAAACAAGAUUGGACUAGUAACGGUAAGCAUAUUGAACAAAAUCAACGCCCACAACUAUUUUGUGUUCUACUCGUGCAAAGAAUCUAUGCAAUAGACCUAGCUCAUGAUGCCACUGUUGGGGAACGUAGCAGAAAUUCAAAAUUUUCCUACGUGUCACCAAGAUCUAUCUAUGGAGAAACCAGCAACGAGGGAAAGGAGAGUGCAUCUACAUACCCUUGUAGAUCACUAAGCGGAAGCGUUCAAGAGAACGGGGUUGAAGGAGUCGUACUCGUCGUGAUCCAAAUCACCGGAGAUCCUAGUGCCGAACGGACGGCACCUUCGCGUUCAACACACGUACAGCCCGGUGACGUCUCCCAUGCCUUGAUCCAGCAAGGAGAGAGGGAGAUGUUGAGGAAGACUCCGUCCAGCAGCAACACGAUGGCGUGGUGGUGGUGGUGGAGGAGCGUGGCAAUCCUGUAGGGCUUCGCCAAGCACCGCGAGAGAGGAGGAGCACUUGGGAGAGGGGGAGGGCUGCGCCAGAACUUGGGGUGCGGCUGCCCUCCCACCCCCACAUAUAUAUAGGGGCAAGGGAGAGGGGGAUCGGCCCCCUCAGAUCCAAUCUAAGGAGGGGGCGGCGGCCAAGGGGGGGAGGAGUGCCUCCCAAGUCAAGUGGAGGCCCUCCCCCUUAGGGUUUCCCCUCUCCCAUGCGCAUGGGCCUUGGGGGGGGGGGGCUGGUGCCCCUGGCCCAUUAAGGCUAGGGCGCCCCCCUACAGCCCAUGCUACUGUAUUGGACGUGGUGGAACAAUUUCCGGACCUCCGGAUCCCUCUGGAAUCCUCUGGAACCUUCUGGAAGCUUCCCGGUACAAUAGCGAAAAAACCCGAACUUUUUCCGGAACCCGAACAACAACUUUCCAUAUAUAAAUUUUUACCUCCGGACCAUUCCGGAACUCCUCGUGACGUCCGGGAUCUCAUCCGGGACUCCGAACAACAUUCGGUAACCACAUAAAAACUUCCUUUAUAACCCUAGCGUCAUCGAACCUUAAGUGUGUAGACCCUACGGGUUCGGGAACCAUGCAGACAUGACCGAGACGUUCUCCGGCCAAUAACCAACAGCGGGAUCUGGAUACCCAUGUUGGCUCCCACAUGUUCCACGAUGAUCUCAUCGAGUGAACCACGAUGUCAAGGACUCAAUCGAUCCCGUAUUCAAUUCCUUUUGUCUAGCGGUAUUGUACUUGCCUGAGAUUCGAUUGUCGGUAUGCCGAUACCUUGUUCAAUCUCGUUACCGACAAGUCUCUUUACUCGUUCCGUAACACAUCAUCCCGCGAUCAACUCUUUGAUCACAUUGUGCACAUUAUGAUGAUGUCCUAUCGAGUGGGCCCAGAGAUACCUCUCCGUCACACGGAGUGACAAAUCCCAGUCUCGAUUUGUGCCAACCCAACAGACACUUUCAGAGAUACCUGUAGUGCAUCUUUAUAGCCACCCAGUUACGUUGUGACGUUUGGUACACCCAAAGCAUUCCUACGGUAUCCGGGAGUUGCACAAUCUCAUGGUCUAAGAAAAUGAUACUUGACAUUAGAAAAGCUUUAGCAUACGAACUACGAUCUUUGUGCUAGGCUUAGGAUUGGGUCUUGUCCAUCACAUCAUUCUCCUAAUGAUGUGAUCCCGUUAUCAACGACAUCCAAUGUCCAUGGUCAGGAAACCGUAACCAUCUAUUGAUCAACGAGCUAGUCAACUAGAGGCUUACUAGGGACAUGGUGUUGUCUAUGUACCCACACAUGUAUCUGAGUUUCCUAUCAAUACAAUUAUAGCAUGGAUAAUAAACGAUUAUCAUGAACAAGGAAAUAUAAUAAUAACUAAUUUAUUAUUGCCUCUAGGGCAUAUUUCCAACAUAUCUUUCAUCAAAUCCGGUGUUUCAUGCUCGGACGAAACACACUGAGGUAGACUAUCAUUUUGUUCGGAAACGCGUUGCACAGAAGCUCCUCAGUAUCAAGUUAAUCUCGUCAAAGGAUCAACUUGCUGACAUCUUCACGAAGCCUCUUCCACAACCACAAUUUGUAGGUUGUAGGCCCAAUCUUAACUUGCUUUGUACCUCAAGCCAUAGUUAAGAUUGAAGGAGGGUGUUAGACUGUAUAUAUACGAGAACUCUUGUAUACACCUGUAUUUGUACUGUACCCUUUGAUACUCCUAUAUAAUGAGAUAGCCACGCCCGUUUAGGAUGUCGAGCAGUUUCUGAAACUAUAUAUUUUACAAUAAGUGCUACUAGUAGCUGCCCAAGUUUUAGAUGAUGCCCAUGUGAUAUUUUCCUUCGUAUUCACACACACAUCUCAUCUCGGCAAAUUCCUCGCCGGACCGCUGCGGCCAGGUCACCGGUCAACACCUAUUGAAGGCACGGCCACACCCCUACAUAUGGUUGCUGUUGACCAUGGAGCCAUGCAAGGUGCAAGCCGCCCUUCACCACCCUCCUCGCUGUGAAACGCUACAAAUGCAAACUAAUCAUAGUUGGUUCUAGUCUUCUUCUCUCAGUCACGGAGGCGUGAGUGUAUCCCCGCGGCAGGACUCCUUGUGUCCAUCCUUUCCCUGUCGUUCUCGCUCCGGUUCGGCUGUCGGAGAUAGCGACUUGCUUAGGCGUGGUCUGUAUGCGUCGAUGGACUGGACGACGACGACAUUGUAGCUAACUAUAGUGAUAACAGAAAAUCAAUGCGACAACACACAACACCACAAGUGUUGAGCUGUAGAGUGGUUUAGAUGUUGUAAUUUCAACAGUAAUGGCAUGAGAGCCAUCUCCAAUAAUCGUAGUACUGCGUGACAUGCAGACUGUACCCUGGUACCUGGGCAUGGAAUUUUCCUUCCCUUCCAGCUGCUUCUCCUCUCCCCCGAGGCGUUAGGCGUGCAAUAGUACUCCUGCAGCGUGCAGUUGAGGCAUGUAUGCUUGUCUGAUGCCUCGCUGCCCCAGGUCCCAUGUGGCGCCAGCACCACAGGAACGGAACGGGCUCGUCUACCGUGCUGAAAGGCACGGCAGGGAGCUACAGUAGCCACGCAGUGGGAAUCACAGACGACACUGCAGGGCCCUAUAGUACUAUGCACUGUAGCGAAUCUACUGUAGUAAAUCUGUACUGUAGCGGGCACCCUGUAGCACCACACUGUUCAUGAGUUCCUGUAGCGCGCAGUGGAAAAUCACAGAGGCACUGCCUGUAGCGCGCAGUGGAAAAUCACAGAGGCACUGCAGGCUACUAUAGCUCCUCUACCGUGCCUUCAGCACGGUAGACGAGCCGGUUCCCACAGGAACAUGCCAUGGAUGCGUACUAUAGAGUUUUUCAGACUCCAAUGCACACUUAUCUCAUAAUUUUACGAGCCCGGCCCGUCACUGAAAGUUCUCGAAUGAAUUCUUGCAUUGUUUUGCUCGAAGAAGAACGUAGGAUAGAACUGAAAAUUCGCAGUGAAAAAGUAGAAUGUAGAAACAGUAGAAAAUGCAAAUUAUCAGGCGACCAAACCCUGCUCCAUCAGAUCAUCAGAUUAAACAAACCAAGAGAGAGAGCCGACCAGAUUCCUACUCAAUUCACACACACACACGCAGGCGCCUGGAGUGGCAACCCGUGCCUGCCUGCUUCAUAACUUGGCAUCCGAUCCGCUCACGUCUGAACACCGAGCACAGGAGGAGAAACAGCUUCACCGAGUAGAGCAGAGUAGCCAUCGAACACUGGAGCCGAUGGUGCUGGCAUCACCUUUUUAGGCAGAUCGCGCAGACUUUUUCUCGCGAGUCCCCACCGCACACCGCACCGUCGUUUGACGCGAGCACCCACUCCCCGUGUCACCAUCCCUCGCCGCACGCGCACCAUUAGACUGGAGUGAGUAGCAAAUAGCACGCCGCACCGCCGCCCCACCGCGACCCGUCACUCCGCACUCGUGGUGGAGUGGAGAGCGUGGCUGGCGGCGGGCCUGCCUCUUCCUCGCCCUCGCGCCUCGUGGUGGCGCUAGUAGGAGCAGUAGCAGCCGGUAAACCCGCACCUAAACCGCAGUCUCCCAUCGCCACACUCCGCGGCACGGGCACGGCACAGAUCCCCCACUCUCCCCCGCCGGGUCGCGCGCGGCGGCAAAAGCAAGCGAGCGAGCGAGCCUUUUCCGGCCACCUACGCCUCGGGGCGGAUGCGCGCGGAUCGCGUCAUGGCGGAGUCGGGCAAGCGGAUCGACCUGGCCGCGCCGCUGCGCUCCGCGCGCCUGCCGUACCACAAGGCCGACCUGGACUCCGGCCCCGUCCGCCACCCCGGCGCCGUGCCCUUCGUCUGGGAGCAGAGCCCCGGCCAGCCCAAGAGCGUCCGCACCCGUCGCCCGGUUCCGCACUCGCCCUCGCCCUCGCAGCCGCGCCCGGAGGAGAACGGCGCCACCCCUUACCACGGCGCCCUGGGCGAGCGCGAUCGCGCACUGCCAAACGUCAUCCCCGCCGCCGCCGCCGUGCCCCGAACUGGCGCCGCGGAGCGUGAGGUGGAGAGGGCGGAGGUCGAGCCGACGAGGAAGGAAGCCACGACGCCGGACGUGCUGUCCGUGGCUGAUGUGCUGCGGAAGGAGGAGGAGGACGUCGGCGAUGACGAGGAGAGGUUCUCGGACGCGCUGGACACGCUCUCCCGCACAGAGUCCUUCACCGUGAACUGCAGCGUCAGCGGUCUCAGCGGCGUGCCGGACCGCCCCGCGGGUGCGGGUGCGGCCGCCAGCGCCGAGCCCGGCGCCCGCGGCCUCAUGAUGGACCGCUUCCUACCGGCCGCACAGGCGGUGGCCGUGGGCUCCCCGCAGUACACCUUCCGCAAGGCCAGUGUAGCUGGCUCCACCGGCAACUCUGCCCGCGAGCAUGCGCAUGCCGCUGCGGCCAAUUGGAGAAUGGGCAGCGAUGAUGAUCGCGUCAGGAGAACACCUGUCCAGCUCCCUUACCAGAAUCUGCCUCCCAAUUAUUUGUCUUGCAACUAUCCCAGACGCGAUGAGCAUGAAGAAGAGGAGGAAGAAGAGGAUGAGGAUGACUUCGACGUACACAGUACCCGAGGUUUUGCAUCCAAGGGGUGUGGUUUGCUCCCUGGAUUGUGCGUAAAAACCUCCUUGUUACUACUGAAUCCAAUGCCUAUGAUGAAGGGUGGCAAGGGGCGUCGGGGAGGAAGAGGCAGGGGAUUGGUAUCCAAAGGCAGGGGCCAGAAGGCACCGAGCCCUCUUGCCCGGAGCUCACAACGUAAGAAUCUUGGCUGUGAUUCUAAUGGGGUAAGCAGAUGCACACAACAAUGCUUCAUGAAUUCAGAGUUAUGUUGCUUCUUGACAAUUUCAGGAGUGGUAGUUCUAAACAUCUCAAUCUCUGUUAUAUUGCAGCAAUACUGGGAGGAAGUUUAUAAGCACAAGUUGGAACAGAAGUACAUUAACCAAGGAGAGGAUAGGAGGAGCAAGCUGACAAGUGAGUCGAACCAUCUGACAUUCUGGAGUGACUCUCAAACUGGCGAUGGGUCUUCACCAUUCCGCCACUCCAUAGGUGGUGGCAUGUCUCCCUACCGCCGCGACGUUGCCUUGUCACCAUCACGUAAAGCAAAUGGGUCAUUUGAAGUAAGAGAUAAAGAUGAGAAAAUGAGUAGAAGCAAUGGCUCUAGCUCACUUGGAAUAGACCAUGAUCAUGGCUCGUUGCUUGGAUCAGAUCACAGUUCUUUGAAGGGAUCAAGCUCCAUGAGCUCAGGGGGCGAUAGAACAUUGCAUGAAGAUUCAAUGGAUCACCGUUCAGGUAUUGAUUCAGAAGCUAGUCAGUUGACCCUGCCAUUGGAUCCAAAGGCAUCUUUGAAUUCAGGGUGUGAUGUUCAACAUGGAGGACACCAGAUAGUCAGAAGUAACAGCAUAGUGGAAGUUCAAGACAAUGAUACGUUGACAAAAACAAUCGCCAAAGUGCCAGAAUCCAUUUCAUUAAUACCUUCCGGAAACGCAGGAUCAGUAAAACUGGAUGAUAGAAAAACUCAUGAUAGUAGUCAGGAUGUUCCAGUACAUUCGGAAGAUAAUAUCGCCGUCAAGAAGGAAAGUAUGCCUUUGCAAUUUCUAAUGCCGUUACCUGUCCCAAAGUCGCCUUCAGAUUCUUGGCUUUCUCGCAAUUUGCCAUCUGUGAAGAAUAAACCACCUGCACCAUCUUUUCUUGGAAUCCAAGUACAGUCCAAGAAACAAGCUCCCUGGGCCUCCGCACAUCCAAAGGAGAAUGAUCUUAAACCUCCCAGGACACGCCAAAUAAGAUUUGCAGAUGUAAUUCAUAACUUCACUCUGUUCUGCCUAUGUUUCUAUUCAUCUUACUUCUCAGAGCCAUUACUGACUGUUUUUAUUUGCCUGCUUAUUUAGGUGGUGGAGAGGCCUUAUUAUCUGGAUACUGAGAUAUGAUAUCUUCCUUUGAGACCAGUAUAUAUUCAUGAUAUGAUUCCUGGGGGGGACAUCAGUCCUAUAUCUGCGACUGCCAGCGCCCAAUGGUUAGGCAUAGAGGUGCCCUGUUUUGCUGUUGUAGUGAUGGCUGGGUACCACUUACCAGCGAUCCAGCAUGUUGGUAAAUUCGAUGCACAUGCCUGUUUGCGUACUAUUUGCUUUAUGUUGCCCAAGGUAUGUUGGUAGUGGUUUAGCUCUGUUGCAAAUCGUAUUUCUAUACAGGAUUGCUUCUGUUUGCUUCAUCUUACUGUCCAUAAAAUAUGUAAUACUGUUUACUCUGUAAAAACGUUGAGUUGAUCUUCAGUUGUAUCAUAGGAUGCAAUUCCAAUAUAAGUCAGCCUUUUGUUCCCAAGACAUUUCCUGUGCAAUGUAAAUGGCAUCUCUCUGGUGAUGCAUGUC
rnacentral:lncRNA from 1 species